GCGCUCCUACAGUUGGGCCCUUCUUUCUCCACCUCCCUCCCCCUCCCGCGCGUUGCUCCGGCUUGUGUUCCCGGGUUCCCUCCCCGGCGCGUCUUUCCCGGCCCGCCCGGUGCAUUGUGGGCUGACGUCUUGGUUUGGCUGUCUAGUGACGGAGGCUGCCGGGUCCGCUGGACCCUUGCGGAGUCUGUCGGAGGCGGGCUCAAGUUCAGGGCUGGGGACCCAGACCGAGACGCGGGGAUCCAGAAAGCUGGGGAGACGCGCUGGUGGCCUGGGGCGGAGGGCUUGGGUGGGAGUAGAGGUUACACACACACACACACACACACACACACACACACACACACACACACACACACACACGAACACACGAACACACCCGUGAAAGGGCUGAAUGAUCUGGGCGAUUGAAGCUGGCUCCGCACCCCCGCACUUCCGGGAGACAGAGCGACGCGGGUUAAUAUGGUUGUGUUCGCCCCGGGUGCGGGAGCGGCAAGUGGGUUGAAGUUGAGCGGGUUUGAGAGUGGCCCUCCCACGCCGAGUGCGCAUGGAAGUUUAGUUUCGGAGAAGGAUCUGCGCCGCAGUGUGCUGUGCUGGAAACCAGAGAUUUGCUGUGCUCGGAAUGAAUUCACCAGGGUCCCCGGCACAACACUUCAUUUUCUGGGGACGUGCCGGGAGGGGUUCGCUUUACCUCGGAGGGACCCCCUUCUAGGUGUGAAAGAUGCCACCCCGGCUCCUUGGGGUAUGGAAAGCAACAUAUAAAGGUUCGAAACUCAGGAAACCCCAGCGCUCGCCUGCACUAGCACAUACACACAGCCCCGCGCACACUCAGUUCGCGCCCGCCCUUCCUCCCUCCCUGAUUUGCUUCUGGGAAAACAAGCCUUGAGAGCUGCGGACUCGCCCCGAGUCACGGUGCUUAAGCAGGAGUCCCUGGUAGAAAGACUGAAAAAUCCCCUCCCCGCUCGAUGGUGGAUUCAUAUCCUGUGCGGCCUCUAGGAAGCGCUAGACACAUCUAUCUUGGGAGGCAUACAUUUUUACCUAGACUUUUCGUGGAAGGAAAUGGUCCCAGAAAGUUCAUGCGUCUUGCUUGGGGUAUACAGACAGCUGGAAAGUGAGCUCAGGUCUGUGUUACAUUCCUUUGUAUUUUCUGGCUCUGGCAAACUUUCCCUUAAAGUCAUAGUUAUUUGUUUGGAGAGUGGUACUGAUGGCAUAGAAGUUGUUCCCUUGUUCCUGUAUUUAGAAACUCCCAGACCUAGGACCUUGUGUAAUUAUGUAUCUUUUGCCCAAGGGGGUUCUGUGCAUCUUCUGCCUCCUGUGGUUUUAAGAGGCUGAUUUUCCACUUAGGUUAAGAAAUAGCAGUUUCAUCAAGGCAAAACAGAUCCCUGCUCUUGUUAAUGCUGUGCUGCUUGGAAGCCAUCAUCAACUUCCUCUUUGCCUGGGAGAAGGGUUUUUUCACAGUCCAGCUUCUGCUCUUUUUAGCCAUAUCUUGCUGAAAGCUCGGUUGGUAAGGGUUGGGCCAUGCUACCCUAAAGAACCGAGCAUCAGAGGCUGAAGUCAAUCAAUGAUUGUUUUUUGAUUCCUCCAAUUACUUGUGGUUGCUUUCAGUGCCCCUCCGGGUUUGCCCUCAGUCUUCCAAGGACUUCACAAAAGCCCUGUUUGGGCUUUAAUAAGUGUAAGGGGACUAUUGUUUAAGUCUUGAUGAUGGUCUUUUGUAAUGCAGGUUGAUUGUAAUCCCCACACAGUAUAGUUUCUUGUAUGAUGCCAGGUAUACCAAGUACCAGUAGCCAUAGCAACUGCUCUUUCUGGUCCCAUCCCCACUGUUUGCCCUCUUCCUUCCUUCCUUCCUUCCUUCCUUUCUUUCUUUCUUUCUUUCUUUCUUUCUUUCUUUCUUUCUUUCUUUCUUCCUUCCUUUCUCUCUUUCUUUCUUGUAUGUAAAUACACUGUAGCUGUCUUCAGACACACCAGAAGAGGGCAUUGGAUCUCAUUAGAGGUGGUUGUGAGCCAUCAUGUGGUUGCUAGGAAUUGAACUCAGGACCUCUGGAAGAGCAGCCAGUGCUCCUAACUGCUGAGCCAUCUCUCCAGCCCUGCUCUGUUUCUUUGUUUUCUUACUCUUCCUUUGUAUUGUUUCUAGUCAACCUUCCCUCCCCCCAUUUUUGGAUUUUCUAUUCCCUUUUGUUUCCACUUAUAAUUUGGCCACAUCUACCGUGAGCUCAUUUCAGUAGCCACCUUGAAAUGUUCUUGACUUGAUGUUACAAUCUCUUGCUUUCUCUCAUUAAGUUCCGUUGUGAGGUGCUGUCCAUCAUCACAUCAGUUGUGCCAACGUGGGAAAGAUCACCACAGUUGGAUGUGUGGACUGGUGACAUUCUCUACUUUAAAGGAGGGUAGAGUAUCCAGCCACGCCUUUCUGCCGCUUGUAUGCAACUCUGCCUUAAAUGAAUGUGGUCUCGGGGUCUCAGCUUGUGGAUAGAUUACAUAGUCUGGUUAAGAUUUGGGGAAAGAGCCUUCAACUGCACAUCCACAUUGGGGAAAGAGCUGCCAUCUAUGCUGGGGGCAGACUUUGCAGCUCAACUGCUUUAGACUCACCCCUGAUCCUGCCCACAACAUUCUGCUCUUGCUCUAUAAGGAAACCCAGUAAACUAGUUGGUUUUCCUGAUAAAAUUUGGUAGAAGCAAAUGUUGAUUUGUUGAUGGGACCUUAGAGAUUGGAGGUGGAUGUUGCUUAGUCCCUCCCACCAUCAUUACCCUACCUCCCACCUGGGGAUCGGGGAGGGGAUUCUUGUGACAGGUUCAUGAUCUGUCUCCUAAGUUUAGAUAGGUGAGGUUUGCCAAAUAGAUCACCACCCUUUUAGCCUGUGUUCUUAGCUAUUGUCCAGUCUAGAUGAAUGUUCAGGUUUUAUGUUAUUAGUCUUACUGUAUUAUCCCACAUUAUGUUUUAAAUGAGUCAGGUCAAGGGCAGUUAUACUGCUAUAACAAAUAGCCCCAAACAACUCAGUAGCUUAUAGAGAAAUUUACUUCUUGCUCAUUGUAUAUACUCAGGGUCAGAAGGGCUCUGCUUAAUGUGUUUAACCAGUCUGGAGACAGUUUUAUCUUGAAUUGUGCUUCCAGAAUCAUCUUAAACACCUUGGUGGAGAAAGAAAGCAUCAUGAAUUCAUGCCAGCAUUAAGAGCUUUUUCCAGGCGUGAUGCACAUUAUUGAAUUCAUAGACUGUGGCUAGUAUGAGUCAUGUGACUUAUAUGGGUACAGGGACAUGUGGUCCCACUGUGUGCCUGGAAGUCAGGAGCUUGAAGUGCCCACUUCUGUCUAGGUGAGGUCAUUACUACGGAAGCCAUCCACAAAUCUGGAUUAUAGCUACAGGGUUAUUUCCCACUCGUGCUCUACGUGUCUACAGAAGUCAGCUCUGUCCAUACUUGUACACACAUGUUCAUUCUUGGACCCUGGCCAACAGCAUCCUCAUUCUUCUAAACAUCGCUGAGAGCAUAGAGUACACAGAUAUUAAAGCUUCUACUGAAAGCAGUUCACGUGGUCAAGCCUGACGUCACAGGGAAGGGAAGCAAGUAUUUGUAAAUAGAGAUGCCAUCUGCCACACCCUACAAUCCACAUUCCAUCCAUUCCUCAGUCUCAGCCACCCCAAACACUUCAUAUCCCUCCUUUCAUAUAUUCUUAUUCUUAAUCAAAAUGUAAACUGCCUUAAGAGAUAGCUCAGUGACUAAAGGCCCUUGCCACCCAACCUGAUAACAUGGGUGCAAUCACUGGGACCCAAAUGGAAGAAGGGAAGUACUGAGUCUUCCAAGUUGUCAUCUGACGUGCACACAUACACACACAACAACAACAACAACAACAAUGUGAUUUUAUGUGAGUUGUUCUUUUAUUCAAGACCCAGAUCAAAUAAUCGCUCCCCAGGAAGCUUCCCACCACUGCCCCAGCCUACUCUCAAACAGUUUUAUCUUCUUUGGCAUUCACCACAGUGGGUACGUACCUGGAUUAGAGAACUCCUGUUGCUCUCUUCUGUCUUCUUCAGUUGUUACUUCAAAACUCAGAAAUGGUGUCAUUCCUAUUUUGUAUCUCUAGUGCCUAGUAAGUGCCCAUCCGGAUACUUGGUAAAAGCAUGUUAAUUGAUUUUUUUUUUUAAUUUCCUUUACUUGUGGAAUUAUGGGGCAUUUCAAUACCAAAGCAGAACUAUUACCUAGACUUAAUUAGUAAUAUUGGAUCAUGGCAAAUUCCCUACCUAGGCUGAUAAGCCUGGGCCUCUCUCCCUCACCUCUUGGCAUUUGCCCAGUUAACAACCCCCACCCCUGCCCCCUGCAUCUGUCCCAGUCUCUCUACACAGCUACACCUUACCUCCCUCUGACCUCAUACCUUUCUCUUAAACCUGUUUUCCUCUAGCCACACCGUCCGCUGCUGGCUCAGUUACACUACAGUUUAGAAUCAUUUUCUAAACUUGAGUGACUUGUGACAGAACGUCGAUUUCUUAUUCUUACUUCAUGCUUAUCAAGGUUGGCAGGGUCUCUGAUAAUAUCACCUUCCUCUAGGAUCCAGGCUGCUGGACUGCCCUCUUCCUGGGACCUAAAUACUCUCUCAGAAAUAGAGGGAAAGAGAGAUUUGAAGAUUCUUGUCUGAACUAUAACAUGCCUUUGCUUUAAAAUGUUACAUGUCACUUCUCACAGUUUGAUUGGCUGAAACAAGCCACCUGUCCCCAUUCAGCCACAGGCAGCAGGAAAGCAAAGAGCUGGUAAUAUUUGUGACCAAUCAUAAUGAUUCUCACACAGGUCUUGGGUUCUCCAAACAUGACAAGCUGUUUGUUUCCCCUAAGAUCUCUUUAACAUGAUAUCCAACCCCUGACUUCCUGGACCUCGGUGAUUUGUUCAGAUGACAAAGCAUUCCAUGGCCCCCCUAAUGUUCUCACCUACCACCUAAACUAUCCUCAGAUCCUCCUCGCUGUAACCCACUCUUCCAAUGUCCCUGUAAUUUCCCCACCUUUCUUUGUGUCUUGAAUUUAGAGCCAGAGAGACCCGGGAAUCAGAUGGAUAGGGUUAGGGAUAGAUCUUAGCUGGAGGGCAGGUUAGGCACAAAAGCCACAUCAGGUUUCUUGGUGCUUUACCACACUGACUUGUGCCUGGGUUGGUAGGUACACAGAGAUCCCUAAGGGACAGGCUAGUUUUGCAUGAACUGCCUUGGAGGGGAGGAAAAAAGCCCUGCAGGUAUGUAUGCUUGGGUUGUUCUGCACUCAGCCAUUUUGGUAGCUCACUCUCAUGUCCAUGAGGAGUGACUGUGCAUUGAGAAGUGCCAAAAAGGGUGUCUACCAGGUAUCCUCAAGUGGAAAGCUAGGGCCGGGUCGAUGGCGAUGUCCUUUUAGCAGUGGGAUUUGUUUUUGGUAUCUCUUUGUAUAGUUGAUUGUGUAUUUCUGAUGUUUCCCUUGAGAUCCCUUUAACCUAACCCAGCAGCAGCCAUGCAUUAAGAAGACAGAGGGAAGCAGUGCCUCUGGUGUCUGUAGUGUGCUGAGCAGUAAGCACGAUGCUGGGCAGAGUCCUAAGUAGUUCUUGGUGAUUCACCAGUGCCCCUGUGAUGUCUUAUGCAUCUCUUCUUCUGGGACAAGAAGGUCUGUGUGACCAAUGCCUUUAUGGUGAUGGCAGUCCACACAGAAUAUCCACAAACUCCACAUACCCACCAAGUAGCCCAGGUCCCAGACAUCACCUUCCAAGGUCUGAGCUCCCAGGACAGGCAGCAUUCUCGUGUUUAAGGGCCUCUAGACUUAAAGAAUGUGAUGGUCAGAGCGGGGAGAAGGGAUGUGUGGGCAAUGGCUGCUGGAAAUGUGGAUGGAAAAGUUAGAAGCCUUUACGGCUGAUCGAUAAAGCUCCAAGGGAAAGAUGAGCACAUGCCAAGGGCCUGAGACGACUUCCCAAGGAGAAGAGGAGAGGGUGGCUUUCUUUGGGCAGGAGGGGAAGAUUGAGCCCUCAGAAGGGCUUUCAGAUAGUGGAGCAAUAGUAUUAUAGGAGAAUUGACUUGCUCUAGAUUUCUGAGAUCAAAGCUAGGGAAAUGGUUAGAAGUUAAUGGAAAGGCUCUGUUUGUGUUCUGGAAUGGUUUCUCAGUAGAAUAGUUGUUGUACUCACAGAAGUGAAGUUCUGCCACCAGACACAUUUGUUGUCUGUGUGUAAGAUGCUCGGCCAGACCCCUUUAUGAUCUCUGUGAGCCCAUCCUAAUUACAGCAACCCUCACCCACUGCCACAGUUGACAGAAGCUCUGUCACAUACUCUGGUUUAGAAUCUAUCCAACCUUUGUGGGUCUAUAUUUGACCCUUUUAUAAUUAAAAAUUUAUGAAUCUGGGAUGAUGUUUUCAUAUUGGAUGGACAUUAUGUCAAAGGAAUUACUUCUAGUAUCCAUGAGGAUCACUGAAGAAAAGUAGGUUCUUCCUGGUAUGAACUGGGCCUUCUCCUUUCCCACCUGUCUAUAGUUAGUCUGUGUUUAUGGGCCCCUUUAAAAACAGAUGCGCCUGAGUUUUAGCCAGUACAAAGAGGGUGGAUGUAAUACAUAUUUAUUUACAGGCUUGCUUCAGAAAGUCACACAUCUUCCCAUGUCACCUGACAAUACAAGGGACUUCAAGGACAUACAGAAGAACAGAGUCCUUGGUCUCUGAAUGACCCUGUGGAAGGAUACUCACUGGCCAGAAGUAGUCCUUCCAGACUUUGAAUGACAAAUCAACUUCAUUGUGCUGGUCCACUGGGAUUUUGGAGUAAAGAUGGCAAUAUCUUCUAAUUCCACUUGGUGUUUAGGAUGCCCUUCAUAAGAAGAAACCCUGGGUCAAAGUUGAGGCUUAUGUUCUGGCUUUCCCAGCUUGAAAAGAAAGAAACUUGUAUACUGUCACCUUCCUAUUGAGGGUGCAAACUUCAUGAGGUAUGUUAGUUGUGAUCCUAUCACCUGGCCCUUGAAAGAAGUCCUCUGGAAGAGCUGAGGCACAGAGAUGAUUUCCAGUGAAGAAUAUCAUGUAACCACUUUGGAAGAUGACUUGUCUUGAAAAUACGAGCUGACCUGGAGGAGACUGUAGAUGGAUUUAAGUGUGCAAAUCAAGCUGUAAGGGCAUAAUGGAGACCAUGUGAGCAUGGUUUUAUUUUUUGACAAAUUGAGAAAGCCACAAACCAGGAACGAUGAUACAUACUGUAAUUCCAGCACUCAGGAAGCUGAGACAGAAGGAUAGCUACAAGUUUGAGGCCUGCCUGGUAUACACAGUGAAUGCAGUGUCUCCAAACAAACAGUGAACACAGCAAUGAAAAUAUGGAGCAUUUAACCAGAGUACUCAUUGCCUGGCACAGCAGGGAAGUCUACAGCCAUGCAGCUUACGCCACUUCCGAUAGGACACUAAUAGUGAGCAAAAGCCAAAGGCCACUUCAUGAUGGCCAUCUGCUUAUAUCCUUGUCAUAAAGUCCCAGAGUUCCGGAAGGCUCGGGUGCCUAUGACAAGCAGGGAUCUCCUAACCAAAUGGUCAUUCUGGGCAAGGUUUGUCUACACUUUGAGAAAAUCAUCUGUCACUGAAAUGCCCAGCUGUAGUUAAGUGAGUAACACAAUAACUUAGUGGCCAAAAAUGGAAUGAAAGGCCAGGUGUCAUGGGCGGACCCUGAGUCUUUGUUUCUUUGGAUAACCCAGCCAUCAAGUAUGCAGGUCAGUUGGUGAUGUUCACCAGGCUCUGAAAAGUUGUUUAGAAACUGUAGCGGCAUCGUUUACAUCUUCCACUGCGUCCUCACCCCACAGAGAACCAACACUGGAGCUCUGAAGCAAAUCACUCAGUGAUCCAAAACAUUAAAGAAAAGAGCAGGAUAGGUGACUCAGCAGUUAAGAGCACCGGCUGUUCUUGCAAAGGACCCAGGUUUGGUCCCGAGCUCACAGCCCCCUGUAACUCCAGCUCUGUGGGUUCUGACACCUUCUGGCCUCCACAGGCAUGGGGUAUGCAUAUGGUGGUUUUGGACAAAAUCCAGGGCAGAGGUAAGGAAGGGAGAGAGGAGAGAGAAUGCAGGGAGGUAUGGAGGGAGAGAGAGGGGGAGAGAGGGAGAGACGGAGAGAGAUCGAGAUUAAUUUCCUUAAAAUGUUGGCCAGGAAAUCAGGCAUGCUCUAAUUUGCAUACUCUUCCAAGUAAUUUAGAAAGUAUGGCUCAAUAUAGCUUAUGAGAAUCAAUCAUACACUCCCCACACAAAUGUCUUAGUCAGUGAUUUGCCAGGAUUAAAAGUUCUAUUUCUCAAUUUUCAGUCACUCACCCUGAGCCUCUCGAUUUUAUGUGUCCACUUACAUAUCUAAAAAUCUAAAUAAUUCUUCUCUUUGCAUGUCUUGCCUUUUCAAAGCUCAAAGUCGUUCAUGGAGAUGUUAUUGGAUUGCGCUGGGGACCGCAGUUCCUUGAUAAUGAGUAAUUGUUUGCUCAAGCUUUAGCCAAGUGUAAAUAUAAAUAUAACCGGGAUGGUUUACCCGUCCAUUGCCAUCCAUGCACUACUGUACCGAGUGCUGUGGCUGACGUGAGAACUGAAUGCAUGGAGCUGCAAUGGUGGACUCCAGGCCUGCUUCGUCAUCGUCAGAUAUGUCAUUUAACAGCUGAGCCUCGCUUUCCUCACAUGAAAAAUGAUUGCGAUGAUUGAUAUUUACCUCAGAGAAUUUAAAUGGGACUGCCACCGUACCUAUGGGAAAGUCACUGCUGAACUGGUGACAUUUCUGUAUAUAUGUAUGUUAUUUAGUGUUUAUAUAUUUAUACGUGGAUUCCUGAAAUAGCAGUUCCGCAGAGUUGAGCAUUAGAAAACAGCUGGUCUUUUGCAAGGCCCAGUUUGAGGCAGACCAUACAAGCUGCUAGAAUACCCUGGCCACAGUGUUAAGACAAAACUGAAAGAAACACAAACUGAAAGAGAUUUGAAUGAGGAAAUACACCCACACUUACAUGCUAACAGCUAAUAGGGGACUUUACUUUGAAGCUAGCCAAGGUUGCUUGACAGAAGGCUGAGAAAAGAUGAGGCUGCUGAGUGAAGCCAGAGAGAUUAUGCUCAAAGUCAAGUAGAUACCAUACAAUAAGCUUUUCCAAGGUCUAUCAUCUUGGGAGGAAAAACAAACCAAACCAAAACCCUUAUAUUGCUGUCUUCCCACUGGUCAGCAGACUUUCAGUAACUCUGCCUUGCUGUAAGGUGCAUCACAGUGUUGUGCAUUAGAGCAGUGUGGGCCACACAGGCAACUGGCAUGUUUCAAACUUCCACAGAUUUCUUGGCUUCAUUAUCAGGAGAAGUAUGCGAUCCCAUAGGUAAUGUUCAGUAAGAGAUGUAUCUGUCCUGCCCCGUCUCAGACUGAUCACGUUCUGCCCUCUGUCUCCUUGGCUGUAGGGCUCCUCUUCACUGGCUGUGAACUCCUUAAGUAAGGUUCCUGAUGUUCAUGUUUGUUCUCUAAGGUUGAGCACAGGGUCGGUCCCUGGAACAGAGCCGUUGCAUUGCAGUUGAACUUCUAGUAGCCAAGGCAAACCUCUGGACCCUCUGUGGUAGCACCAGGAUCCACCAACAGGCAACACAAGCUGAGGCCCGGAGGCUUCUGUGGGACCAUGUAUGAUUCCACUUCAUCUCCUGCAACCCUGUUGCUCUCCAAUAUGGCAAGAGGAGCAUUGGGUCUUCCUCCUUUGUUAAGACAUUUAUACCAGUUGAGCAAGAAGUCGGUGCUAGAGCGGCAGCAGCCGGUUUGGAGCGCAGUCUCUUCCUCAUGGAACCCUGGCCGGAUCACUGGUCUUCACCACCACUGUAAACUUCUAAAUUCCCUCUUGUUAAACAAAUUAGAGUGGGUUCAAGGUUAUAUUUUGAUAUUAAUAGUUUUACCCUCAUCGCCCCGUGAUCAAAGAGAAAAGGGUAAGGGGACAACUAUCAGCUGGAACUGUAGUACACUUUCCUUCUCUUACAGACCUAGUGCUUCCAAUGCGCCCUGGCUGUCUCUCCACACUCUCAAGGUCUUCUUCACUCAUCUUCUUGGCUGUGUGGAUCUGAAAACACACAGCGUUUGUCCGUAAUCUCAUCCUCAUCCACACUGACUGUGGAUAACCGGAUGUGUUUUGUGAGGCCCCUCAGUCUCAACAUGGUUUUACAGACUCGGUCCUAAGCAGGUAUCACAUUCUUACUGACCCACAGCUGCUGUGCUACUUAGGUUUGUGUCUGUUGGAAUUCCAGGGCAAAUAUUUAUAAUUAUAUCAGCUCAGAGAGUACUUCUUCUGCAUACUUCUGAGUUCAGAACCUCAGACUUUUUUCUUAAAGCUACUCAGCGUCUCACUCAGCCAGAGGAGAAGAGACCUGUCCGCUUUAGCUCUCCACUCUUUGUAGUUCAACAGCAGCCUGGUUUAGGCCGGGACAAGGGUGAAGGUGGUGGAGGUGGUGGUGAUGUAUUGAUGAUAAAGAGAACAAUAAUAUCUAUGAGAAUUUUAUUACCCCCAUUUUACAGAUAAAACAACUAAGCUUCACAGAGGUGAGGUAACUUCCUCUGCCAUCCAGGUAGGACUUAACAGAAGGUGGGGUUUACAUCUGGUUCCACGUGAUUCUCCACUCAUCCGCACUCCACCACUCCCCAGGUGGAUGGUCAGGGUCAGGAGCCUCGUGAGUGAGAACAACAGGUCUGUCGAGUUCUGCAGGGCUGAGCUGUUUAUCAUUGCGGAGGACACUCAUCACUGUGCUAAUUACAUUAAUUGCUGCCCACUCUGAGGCUAGCUCCUUCCUGCAAUGGCCCAAGACUGUAAUUACAGGUUGGAUUGGUUGGAAGUUGGUUGCUCUCUACCAUGUAGGGGAAAGGUCAAGACUAUGAACAUUGCUCUUCAUCAGACGCCUUACUGGAAGCAGAGAGGAAGGAUGAGGGUUCCUGUGGUAAUCUCAUGAUUCUCUAGAAGCAGGUGCUCUCCUACCCUCAUUCUGUUUGAGGGAGCCUGGUCAGCUGCUUGGAGUCCAAGAGCUAGCGGGAGAGGAGACAGUCUGAAAGCAGGAACCAUCAGAAGUCAUCCUUAGUGCCCAUAACAUAGUACCCCUCACCAGGACACUGCUCUGUCUGACACUGAAGUAUUGGCAGGGUCGGGCAAGGUGCCAACAAGUGGGUUUUGUCUAUCCCUAAAUGAUGACUGCUUGAGAUCUCACCUGCUCUGCCUUCCUUCCUGAGAUUCCAAGAGAAAUUGCUUGGAAGUGUAUUAAAUGCAAACUAAGUCAGAUGUAAGCCAUGGUGUUUUUCUGUUUGAUCUGUUAAGAGGUAAUUUGGAGACUACUUCUGCAUACUUGUUGAACAGAGACAGAGUGGCUUUGGUAAUUCAUCAUAAUUGAGUAAGUGACUUAACUUCCACAGAAAGCAGAGGAUAAUUUGGGAAGUCACUGGCUUUGGAAUGCUGUAUGUUCAUGUACUUUAUGGGUGUGCCCAUAUCAUUUGUGUGGGUAUAAAUGUCAAUGAGUUUGUGUGUGUGUAUGUGUGUGCAUGCGUACUCAUGUAUACGGGUGUGUGUGUGUGUGUGUGUGUUCCUGUCACACUUCCUGCCAGAGUUCAAAUUUGAAUGUCCGCUGAAAACCAUGUGUUAAAAACUUGGUCCUCAGCCUGAUGCUACCGGAAGAUGCAUCUAGAAGUUCCUUCAGUAGGUGAGGUGUAGUGGGGCACGCUCUAGAAGAGGAAGGGGGAAAUGGGUACAUUUCUCUUUUUGUCUUUUCCAUAAGGUGAGUGGACUUCUUUGGAUAAGCACUCCUGCCAUGCUGUUCUGUGUCACAGUCACAAGACAAGGAAGCCAAUCAGUACCAGACUGAAACCCCCCAAACUGUGAGCCCUCCUUCAGACUGACUUGCCAGCACUCUUCUUAAAGCAGAAAGCUGACUAGCACACCCACCAACCUUCUAUGAACGAGAUUUGAGCUCUGUUCUACUAAUCUUAAUGCAUUCUAUAAUUACAUAGGGAAGUAAGGAUAUUUGGAAGUAGACCAGAGUGUAUCUUGGUUCCGCCUUUAUUAACUGCCAUGCCUUGGACAAGUCACUUCACCUCUCUGGGCACUGAUUUCUCAUUUCUAAAAAUAGGGAUAAUAACAGUCCUGACUUGAUGGCACUCCUACAGGCUAGGAGGUUUCUGAGGGCAGGAACUAUGUUUAUAUACUGUUCUGUCCUCAGCCAGAAUGAGGUUUGAGCUGAGUGUGGCCUUGGAACUUAAGGUAAUACUUCUAUUCUGAAUCCAAUAUUUCCCAAUUGGCUGAGCAGCCUUGGAGAAAUUACCUAAUGUUCCUGAGCCUCAGAUUUCAUACCUAUGGAAUAGAGAUUUUUUAUUCCUCCUUGAAAUGAUUGCUGUGUGGUAAGGUGAGACCUACAAAGGCUUGUGUGGCAGAUGGUUAGCACAUAGGAGGCAGCUGGCAAAGCUUGCUUCUCUCAAAGUCUAGUCUCUGUCCUAGAGUGUUACCUUCACCAACAGGUAUUGAAUUUCCACUUGAUCUGAAAAUCUCGUAUUUGGAUCUUCACCACCACACCCGUCUUUCCCAUUUCUUUCUUUCCUUUCCUUUCCCUGUGUUGCCCUCUCAUUCGGCUCUGCUGUGACUGAGUUCCUCUGGACCAACAGUAGGCCCUGGAUGCUCAGCCCUCUCACUAGCCUCGCCUCCCUCAACCUCUCCUUCCACAACCCUGGGCAGAUCUUGUUCUCAUGGACUGCUUCCAGCACAGGCUACUGCCUCAGCUCUGGCCUAACUGGCUGUGUGAGCCUUCUGGUAAACUCUGGCUUUACUAUGGCAGAACAGUAGAGACAGAAAGAGGGACCUCAAAACAAACACAAGAAACUGGUUAACCCAAAAAGACGGAAUGCGCUUCUCUAACAAAUGGAACACGCACAAGAAAUGGGUUUGCAUACAUGUACCUGCUCUUUGGAGUAUAUGCUCACUGCCAACCCCUUAUUCCUCUCUUUUCUCUCCCCCAUCUCUCGCUCUUGGUUUUUUAUCUUUUUGGCUUUUCGAGACAGGGUUUCUUUAUAUGGUCCUGGCUGUCCAGGAAUUUGCUAUAUACAAGUUGGCCUUGUAUACGAAGGAUGGCCUUGAACAGAGAUCUGCCUGUCUCUGCCUCCCCAGUUGCUGGAGUUAAAGGCAUGUGCCGGCACCCCUGGCCUCUUGAUAGACUGUCCUUAUUUCUGUUUCUAAUCAUGUGACCCAUGCCCAAUUCUUUGCCACAGGACACAAGAACCUAGAUAUGGAUUCAAAUCCCUGCCUCUCACAGCAUCCCUAGUGCCAGCUCACUCUGGGUGGUAGCAACCACCAAUGGCUCCUGGCUGUGAUGGGAUAUUUCCAGAACUUUCUUGGUUUGAGGCUUUACACCUGUCAUCUCUCUUCCUUCUGAGGAUCUGCUGACUGGCACUCUUACUUCCUCAGGCCUCAGCUUACAGGCUGCCUCCUCAGAAAGCCCCCCUCCAUGGCUUAUGCAAAAUAAUACCACAAUUGCUCCUGAUCCCCUCCAUUUCGGCUUCCUUCUUCUCACCUGUAAGUGAUCCAGUAUGAAUUCAUUCAUUCAUUCAUUCAUUCACUCUAUUUUCAGUGACAGGGACUGAAGCCACAUUCUCAAUGUGUGCUAAGUCUGUGUUCUUAAUUUAUUCUUAAUUGUUUCUCUCCCUUAGGUAGCUUGUGAGCAUAUAAAAACAGGUUGUGUGAGCCUUCUGCAGACCAUGACACAUAGUAGGUGCUUAGACAAAACACACCAUGGUUUGAAUGUGUGUGACCACUUAUGAAAUAGUAGGGAGGGGCCUACAGGAUGUGUUAGGCAAUUCCAGGCCUAUAUGGUCCACUGGGCAAAUGACAAGGCCUUAAUGAAGUCAGGUCCCCCUAAAGGCUUCUGUGGAAGUCCUACUGUGUGCACAAUAGGUUCAGGAGCAGGGUCGUGGCAUCAACACAAUGAAAAGCACAGUUCCUGCUGGCUUUUGUGCUCUGUGGCUCCUAUAACAAUUACAAGCUUGGUAGCUUAAAUAGUAAAAAUUUAUUUUCUCACAAUUACUAGACACCAGGACAUCUGAAACUAAGGUGUUAGUUAGCAGGGCUGAGCUCCUUUGGUGGCCUCUCCCCUGUGGAGAGUUGUUUCACUUUCAGCAGCAUAACUUUGAAAGUGUUUUCACUGUGUCUCUCUGUAUCCCAAAUCUCUUUCUUUCUCUGAUAAGAACACACGGUUGAAUAGAAAGCUUGUUCUGAACCUCAAGUGAUCUCUCUUUGAAACCCUUCCUGCUCCAAAGACCCCACUUCCAAAUUAGGUCCCCUUCAUAAGGACUGGAGCUGAGGACCUGGCUGUAUUGUUUAACUCACCACGGUGCCUUCCAGGAAUGUCUUGUCUGAGAGUGGGACAGGCACAGCUUAGCAAUCAGUGUCCCAAGCAAGAGUGAGACCAACCAUUAUGGCCUUAGGCAGAGAUUAUUCAGUAUAUUUUAGUCAAGAUUCAUGCGCAGAGACUUUGCUGGGGAGCAGAGAUGACAAAAUGUAGCCUCUGCCCUGGGAGAGUUCAUGGGAGAAACGGAAGUAAGUCUGCCAGUGGGCCCUGGAGAGGUGGAGGUCGGCCCUGAAGCCCUGGGAGAUGAACCGGGGAGAGGAGUAAUGAGAAGGGUCUGAGGGGAGGGGUUCAGAGAGCUUCUUGGAGGAGGUGUAUGAAACACCGAGGCUCCAAGACUGAGAGAAUAGGAACCAGCUAGGCCAGAAAGCAGGGAAGGAUGAAGGCACAGAGAGUAGUAAGACUGGAUACAUAGAGGUGGAAUGGGGACCCGAGAAAAGUGGCUGCUGCAUUCCCCUCCAGGUCGCACUGGGGAGCCACAGAAAGACCUAGAGAAGGAAAUGAUAUCCCUGGACCUGCAUAUUAAAAUAAAAAGAACAGAAAGCCUGCUGAGGAAAGUGAUUUUCUAGAGGUUUGAAAUUAUAUUUGUGAUUUUUUUUAGAAAGUUUAACCUAUGUACAGAAAAGUGCUCAAGUCACAGAAGUGCAACAGAAAAUGUCCUCACAGACAUACCCACAGGCCCACAGACCAGCCUGAGGAAGGAUAUUUCUCAGGAACAACUGCAAAUGAAGCGCCCCUGUAUGUGAGGACAGCCCUGGGGUUGGGGGAGCAGGGACUAAAAGCUACAAAUGCUAAAAGCUCUGCAGUACAGACCUGACCCAUAGGUCCUUCUCUUAAGCCUGUAAGAGAGUGUGUGGCCCAGGACUGGACUGAACUGGAGCUCCCAGCAUGGUCUGGGGUGGAGAGAUUGAGGAAGGACUCUGUGUGAGCAGGGCAGAUCACUGGACUCUGCUUUUCUUGGCCUCCACUUUCUCUUCAACAGUCUGACAAUAGAAUUACUGCCCUCCUUGUGAUCGGAGUCUAGGGGGCUGACUUGGGGAUGAAAUGAAAAUGUGUUUAUGGUUUAGGGGUAGGGCCCAACCCAGGACAGCAUGUAGGCAAAAGCAGUGGCCAGGAAUUGACUCCAGAUUCCUUGGGGCUGGAGCUCUCUCUAUACAAAAGAAGGAAGUUGGAGAAGACUUUUAAUUCUUUUCUAUUUUUUUUCUCCUUAGAUUGUCUUUUUAGAAUCUUAAAACCCUGAUUCUUUUGUCUAAUUGGGGGACUUGAAGCAGUCUGUGGGAAAUGAAUGGCAUAUUUGAUAAUUAGGUAUCCAGUGUUGGAUGCUCGUCCUAGUUACUGUGAUAAACACCGUGACCGAAAUCAACGGGGAGGAGAGGGGUUAUUUGGAUGUCAGGGCAGGGAUGCAAGGCAGGAACUGAAGGAAAGACCGUGGUGGAGGAGCGCUUCUUACUGGCUUACUUCCUCUAGAUGCUCAGCUACGUUUCUCAUAGAGUCCUGGCCCAGGGAUGACAAUACCCACAAUGGCUUGGACCCUCCCAUAUUAAUCAGAAAUGAAGAAAAUGUCCUCACAGAUAUGCCCGCAAGCCAGUCUAAUGAACGCUAUUCCUCAAGUGAGGUUCCUUCCCUCCUCCCAAGUGACUCUCUCCUCAACUUAACAAAAAACUAACCAACAUAGCACACCUUUACUGAGGCCUGUCAUGUGUGAGACCCGCCCUGCACAGCAGACCACUUGGGAAACUUCCAGGUUAGUAUAAUAUUGUUCCAAGGAAUCUCUUCAUGUCUGAUGGCUGAAGAACUUCCGGGGCCUCAGAGAGAGCAGCAGUAGCUCAGAGUCUACUGGCAGGCACAUUAAGGGCUAAAAUACUGCUUAGGUAAAUACACCACUGCAAGUACCUGUAGUCAGCUCUUAGUGGUCACCCUAGAGUGGGUAGCAGUUGGUUGGAGUCCAGGAAGAUUGUGGGAGCUCCAGCAAAGGGUAUGUGUAAUUGCCAAACCGUUCUGUUUGUUAAGACAUCUGUGGAUAGCAGGAUCUGUCCCUACCUGCCUGGUUCUCCGGGGAGGGGGAGGGGCAGUCAGUCACUAGAACAGAGAUGGUCUCACACACCAUGUUCUUUCCCAGGCUGGAGUAAGUACAGAUGCUAGACUCAAGGGGAGAAGAGUGGUCAGGGAACAGUGCCAGUGCUGGUUGGCAUCUGGGUCAAGCCCAGAAGACUCAUGGAAGUCUCGGAGUGCCAUCUGCAUCUCAUCAGAGGGGCUCUGGGUUGACUUGAGUAGUCAGGCAACUCUGGCAGGCACUGGCUUUAAGGCAUUGACUGAGUUGGAUUUGAGAGCCCUAGAUAGAAUAUCGGGCUAAACACUACAUUUUUCAGAACCAGUUUUUCACCUGCUAACAAUAUCACAAGUGUGGAGGUUUAUACAUAGGCAUAUAUGCUGUUUUUAGGUACUGUAAUUCUUACUAAAUAGUAUUUGUAACUUAUAUUAGGAUGGGGGGUGCCAGGGGCUGUGUCUGUGUACAUCAAUUCCUAGUAAAAUGACCAGCAACUUCUCAGACUCUUUAGGCUGGGACUAAUGAGGGGAAGUUUGGGUCAAGCUGGUAUGCCUGGCGCCUACAGCUGUGUCUCAAAUACUGAGGAAUAAACGAAUUCCACUACUUGGGUUUUCUUCAGGCCAAGCCCACUGAAAUAAAGAAGCUGAGGUUUCCAGAAAAGUCUGCUCCUCCGGUGUAGUUGGCUGGUUGACUGACGGUGGUCCAGUGAUAACGUUAUUGGCCUCUGGGUCGCUUUACACCCCGGUGGAUCUCUGAAACUGCUGUGGCCCCUUUCAUCCAGCCCACUUUCUUCGUGGGACUUAAAAUUGAGCACAGAUCAUGGAAGAUUUUCAUCAUGGUCCUGGGAGUUGGACUCCUAGUACCUGCUAUGGCUACAUUAGGGUCCACCUGGCUUAUUGGCUGGUAGCUAGUUCCCUUGGGAACCAGAACAAUCUUCCUGCACAUUGAGUAAUCUGCUUCCUUUCCCUGCCCGGGGCAAGAGUCGGCUCAGGGAAAGUGAAGAAACCAGUUUGGGGCAGCACUAGGGUGGGCGUGGGCUGGGCACUGCCAGGAACUCUGCGGCAAGACCAGUUUCCAUUGCUUCCGGACCGGAUGCAGGGCUGCGAUCCGGGCGGAGACCAGAGAAUUGCGCCCGUGAGCGCACCUGUAAGUCCUUCUGAACAGCAUUAGUCAGGGACGGUAGGAUGGGACCAGCGUUUCUGGGUCAGCAGACACUAGGGCGCAACUUCCGGUUACUAAAUCGGGCGAGUGGGUGGAGCCAGUAAGUUGUGGGCCGGUGGAUGGGCAGUUGAAUAACCCUGCCGCGGUGUGUGUAGCAGAGGGGGCGGGGACGGGGGGCGCGGGUGGUGGGGUAGGGGUGGUGGCGGAACCCAAAGGCACUGCCACCAGCACCUCUUCUGAGUAUAACCAUUGACUGGGUGGGGAAAAAACAGCGUUAAGUUUCGACUCGCCUGGCUUUUGUAUUCUUGGGCAAGUGACUUAGUUUAUAUGGCACCACGCUUUCUCAGAUGUAAAACGAACGAAUCAAUGAGAUAACAGCGCAGUAGUAGCCAUAGUAGUAGUAGGUGCUCAAUAAAACGAGGUUCCCUUCUAACAUGCCAGCACUCCCUGCCCUACAGUCCCGCCCACAGGCAGAACUAGGACGGAAGGUUUUGAGAGGCAGGUGGCCUGGCCUGGAGACGAUUCAAGAGCCAUUUUAGCCUCGGGUUGCCUGUCUAGCCAGCAGGAUGGGGCAUGAGGGCGGGUCCCUAAGGUCGAAUUUCGGUCGGGUUUCUGUGAUCCUGGUAGGGAGUUUCAGUGCAUUCUUUCACGUACUUACUCGUAGAUUCUUAUCAGGCUGCUGCCUUUUGCCUCCCCCAGUGGCCCUACAGCGUUUCAUCCAUACAAGGCCAGUUUCCACCCUUAGCUCUGUAUGUAAACAAAGCCAGGGCUUUUAGCGGCAGGUCCCCACAGGUCUAGCUCUCUGUGCCAGGUACGCUGGAGGUAGAGCCAAAGUCUGGCUCUGUGACCCCGGAACCCGCUCUGCUACCAAGUUCCCACUGGCCCAAACUUUUAGCCAAUAAUGUGGAUGAUAAUGUUGUUCUCAUUCUUCUACCCUGCGUGUUGUCAAGGACGCUGCAAAAGUACUAAGCUGGUGUAGGGAGUCUGGGUAAAAAAUGGUCUAGGAUGAGAUGGACCCUCUGAAGUGCCGUGGGUGUGUCAAAUGAGAAUUGAACCGUAGCAUAAGCCGCCGGCUGAUUCUCCGGAGACAGUCUAGUCCUCAAGUUACAAAUAUACCAUCUUAUUAAAAUAGUAACGAGGACUAUAGAACUCAGAAUGAUUUUAGCUGAAAAUAAGAGACAGCAAAGACAAUCCUGGCAGUUUCUACAUGUUCCUCCACUCCUUAAACAUACUUUGUUGCCCAGUCUGAGGCCUCAGCCACAUCCACUGAGAGGUGAGCAGAAAGAGAGAAGCAUUGAGAUUUCAGACUCUCUUCUCAGGUUCUUUGGUGCCCGGAGUGAGGGUAGGGGUGGGAGGACCCAGGACUGAGGACUCUGAGCAAGGACAACAGCUGAGGCUCAGUGCUAUGAGCUUUGCUGGUUCCAGAAAGUUCCCUUUGUGGGAACCUGCCUACUUCCUCCUCUCAGUCCUCCUCAGUAUAGUGUGUGUGUGUGUGUGUGUGUGUGUGUGUGUGUGUGUGUGUGUGUGUGUGUGUAUGUGGUGGGUGGUGGUGGUGGUGGAUGUCACUGCUCUUGGCUGGUUAAAUACGGUGAAGCCUAGAGUAACAGUCUUAUCCCCAGUCCCAGGGAGUGAGAUAGGGCCUGCCUGCAUUUCAGCCUCCUUAGGACAGUCACCAAUUCUAUGGUCUUGAGAACAUGACUUAAUUUCCCUCAGUCUUAAUUUCUGAAGCCUUAAACUGGGGGUUGGCAACAUUUACCUCAUAUAAUUGUUUUGAAAACUGAAUGCAUACACAUCUAUAAAGCCUAGGACGUUUAAAAAACAAUUAAUUAAUGGAGUGUUCCGUUUCGCUUGUUAUUGUUAGGCAGGUCUAAGUAGGGCUCUCAGGCCAAUUAAGAACCGGAUGACCCUGCCAGGUGCACUUUCUUCAGACACUGGGUGGUGGUGAGACAGGGUGAGCUGUGGUGUCUGGCAGGUUCACCAGCUAUGUGCACAGGCUGGAAAGCAUUGGCCAGCACCGUCUUAGCUCUUUCCACCCAACCAGUUUAUUUAAUUCUACAAUUACACUAGGAGACAGGUCUUACUAGUAUUCUAUUUCACUAGGGGGAAAUUGAGGCAUGGAGCAGUUAUGUGACUUGUGUAAAUGCCACAUAGCUACAAAGUAGGAGAAUAUCCUGGUGCCCAGAGGCUGAGAGGAGCUAUGCAAGGAGAUGGGGUUGCAGUAGUGGCCUGAUGCAUGGCCACCUCCUCAGUAAGCCCAGGGACUUCUUUCUUCGUAUAGAGGUUUCAGGAAGCCUCACACUUUAACACACUCUACAUAAGGCACCUUGCGCACAGUAGGUGCUUAGUGGUGCUAGCCUCUCCACCUGUAUAUUUUGGUUACUUGGGGAAUAAUUGUGUCUCUACUGCUGUGCCUCAUGGAAUCCGAUGGAUGGGUCUGGCUCAUGCUCAGGUUCUGGCCUUUCGUACUAACUGCCUCUAAGAGAUGGACGCAUUCUCCCUCCCUUUCCCUCUCUCUUUGGAGUCCUGUUCUAAUCCUCGUGGCCAGAGCUCUGAAGCAUAGACUGUGGGCUGUCCGGCAGUGCAAACAGAAGCACUCCUCGAUGUUUGUCGCAUAAAUGUUCGAUCAUCUCAAGGUCGGCUUUUCCAUUUGACGUUUCCAGUUAGAUGCAGGAAGUCAGGGUUGGGAAAGCAGAAUGGAUAAGAUUUUUCAGGAUAAUUUUUAAAGAGCUUUAAUGUUUAAAAGAUUUUUAAGCUAGGAGGGGUUCUUAACAACACACUGUAAGCUCCCAUCAUUCACGGAGACUGCAUUCUGAGGGUCAAACCAUCUUUGCAUCUCCUUAUAAACUUGAUCAGAUAUGGGGCGGGAGUAGGUAGAAUGCCAGCCCGUUCAAUGCCGAGGGGUAUUUGUCCAGCUUUGUAUGUCGGGAACUGCCAUGUUCCAGGAGUUUGCUCAUUUGAAAUAAGCCCACGAGCCUGUGACACCAUGUGCUGUGAAGGAGGGGUCUGAUCCUACAUCCACUCCAAGACUUUGUUCACUCUGCACAGGGACAAAAUGCAAAGUCUGAGCUGCAGUUGGGGAGCAGCAGCAGCUUGCAAGUCUCCCAGCAUCUCCCUGCUCUUCCUGAGUUGCAGACCUCCGAACUGAAGGUUCAGAAGAGAUUUCAAGAUCACCUCAGCCAAGGUUUCUCAGUCACUUGUUUACCCAAGUUGCCCUAGAUAAAUGCCUCACAGCCACUUUUAAUGACCUUCAAACUCCAAAUAAAUGUCAUGACUUAAGCAAGCAGAAGCAGAGGCCUGCGGUUUCAGUGCUUUCUCUUCAAACACCAGCCCCCUCAGAGCUUCUGUGCGACAUCUUCCCCCCAUCCUUGCCAAUAGCAGCCCAAGGGAGAGGGAGGGUGCUUCUUUCCAUCUUCUUCUCUGUGCUUUGUUUCUUAGGAGGCGAGGCCCAGAGAGGUUGGAAUUGGUGACACAAUCGGUUUUUGGACUUGGGUUUGUCCAACACCUCCAGGGAUGCCUUUGCCAUCACUUCUGUUUUCGUCCCAACUGGUCUCUCUUAUGUGUGCUCUCCUAGCACAGGGACCACACACAGGAAUCUGCCUUUGUCACCUCUCUGUCCCAGAAUUCCUCAUCCUUCCAUGCCUCAGUACAGGUUGCUCCUCUGCUUGGAGCCUUCUCUCCCUCCUCCCCGGGUUUAUUAGUUAGCUAGAUUCACCGGAAAACUUCCCGGCUCUACUGCAUCCAGAUGGAGACGACUGGUCUUCUGCUUGUGUAGGGCCGUCUCUCAAACGCUAACGCUUCCAGUGUUGUUUACAAAUCUCUCUUAAUUGCUUAUGACCUCCGUAGGCAUCUUGACAUGCACAUGUAUUACCCGUGCCACCCCCUCCAAACCACCCCCUCCACACCGCAUCACAUCUCCUAAUACACACACUCCAUGUCCCAUUACUUCUCUACAUCCCCCAACACCACACAUAUAAAACAUACACACACACACACACACACACACACACACACACACACACCACACCACGUAAGUCACCCAUUCCUAUACAUCCUACAGCACAUAUACCACACAUCCCUGCACACUUCCACAUGCUGCCCCUGGCUUAUCAUUUGGUUUUACUUUUCCAUUUUUCUUUUGUUUGUGGAGAUAGGGUCUUUCCGGGUAGUUCUGGCCAGCCUCAAAUGUGCUGUGUAGCUCAUGGCGUCCUCAAAACUUGACUUCCUAUUGUCUCAGCCUCCAGAGUGGGCUACUGCACAUAGCCAGUAACUUACUUUAAUUUUUUUUAGUCGUCACCGAGGCUAUAUCUUCUUAAGGGCAGCUGUCCUGCGUUGGAGCAAUAGAGGGUGACUGCUGGCUUUUGAGGUUGACUGCAGAUCUCCCAGGCUCCUAGCAUCCUUCCUGGUAAUCCUCCAGAGAGCUUUUAUCUGAUAACUAAGUGCAGGGGAAUGUAAGUUUUCUUCCUUCAUUCUUAGUUUAUUAUCAAGAGUAGACACAGUCCCUUACAAUCAUUUAGGGUUUAGGAGUAAAACAGACAAACUAUCUUCUUUUGUAAAGUUUACUUUCUCUUGGAGGAGAACAGUAGGUCAAUAAGGACCAUGUGUGGCAGUUCAGAUAAUCAUGCACAGAACCAAGAAGACUCUGACAAGAUGGCUACCUCGAGGGAUCAUUUACAUGAGGAACUCAGGACAGGCCCUCUGAGAGAGUGCCACUUGCCCUGGAUGCAGUUGAGGUGAAGUGGGAUAAAGACUUGGAGGACAUGCAUUUGAAGUAGAUAGAACGGCAGGUGUGUAGGCCAUGGACUGGGAACACACUGGGCACGGGGCAGCAGCGGAAUGGAUGAAGUGUUCACACAGGCAGGAUCAGUCACAGACACUGGUGAUUUGGGGCGGGUCAGUGUCAACACAGAGGUCCUGCUAUAGACUUCUGAAUGUCAUGGUAGAGUAAGUCCCCUACUAUAGACUCAGGGAGACAAGACACCUGUUGGUCUUCAAGAACAGCAGCUGGCAGCAGCUACUGAAGAUAUCCCACAAUGUCCUCUACUCCAAAGAGAGCCCCAGGCUCAGCAGGUAAAUGUGCCUGACACUAAGCCUGCUGACCUGAGUUUAAUCCCCAGAUCCUACAUGGAGGAAGGAGAGAGCCAACUCUGAUCAGUUCUUCUCUGGUCUCCACACAGGUGGUAUGGCAUAUGUGCCCUCCCCCCAUCAAAAUGGCUGUAAUUAGAAAGAAAAAUGAAGUAUAUUUUAAGAAAGCGAAUCCCCAUAAAAUCUGGGUGGAAAUGACAUCUGAAAGGCUCAGACCAAUCAAGGGGCCACUCUGGAAGUUUACGUGUCUCUGACUAUGGAAAGUCAGUAACUAUUGUUACACUGUCAUGGGUAUGGGGCCCUGGACAGGAAGGAGACAGUCAGGGUCUCGGCCUCUACUAGCUUGCUGCCUCUUGCCUUUGAGAGAGGAUAUCUAUGCCCCGAAAAGGAUAGGUUAGCAGUAUGAAGUCAGGAAGACCUAGGUUCUCCCUCCCUCAUUCCCUCUCUCCCUCCCUCCUCCCUCCCCUCUCCUUCCUUCCCUUCCUUCUACUUCCUUUCCUCUUUCCCUCUCUGCAUACCUCUGCAAAGCUAGUCAAGCUUCCAUGUGUUACUUCACUGCACUGAGCCUCAUGCCUCUCCUAGACCCAGAAGCAGAUGAACUUUGCCUUGUCUCUCUGGGACUCUGAUACUUUUUCAUCCCUGAAGCAAUGACCAUGAGAACAAGUUUGGUUUUUGUUUGUUAGUUAGUUAGUUUGUUGUUGUUGUUUUUUCAGAAUUCUCACCAAUUAACCAGACAAUGCAUACAUGCUAUUCCUGCUUUAUAAGUCACUCACUUUUGCUUGCUUCAUCCUGGUGCAUCCAGGGUCCUGGGUGUGGAAUGCUGCAGAGGAGCAAUUGUAUAGCUUUUUAAAGAAUUGGUGGAAUACUCCAAGUUAGAGCAUGGGGAGAGGGUAUAACCUGAGGCCGGGUUGUUGUUUGUUUUUUGUUUUUAAAGAUGUGAUAAGUUAGAUGCUCGCACCUAGAAUCCGAGUACACUAGAAGCUAAGGAAGAAGGAUAGACACUCAAGGUCAGACCGGGCUACAUAGUGAGACCCUGUCUCAAACAACAACCAAAAGAAGCUAUGUGGAGGUAGAGCUAACUAUUCACUCUUUAUUGGCCAAGUGAACCAAGAGUCUGGGAAAGUUGUACAUACUCUCCCUUCCUUCUUUCUUCCUGUGUAUGUAGUCCAGGCUGGCCUCCUGUGUAUCUCAUUAUGUAGCCCAGGCUGGCCUCAAACUUGAGCCACCCCUGCCACUGUCUCCUAAGUGCUGAGAUUUUAUCAUGAAGCACUACAACAAGUGAGAAUUGUGUUUUAAUAGGAAGAUUUGGUGGGAGCCAUGGUGGGGAAUCAGGGCCGCUGGAGGGGGUUGACUCUCAGUGGCAGGCCACUUCUAGGUGUUUGGUAGCCCUGUUUAAGUUUGAUACUAAGAGGAUAAGAGAAUGCUUGCCCAUUCCCCUAUACUAGAGAGGACUCUGGGUGCUCCGUUUGAGGCCUGAGUAUAGUCCUCCUUUCUUGUGUUCCCCCUCAUCCUCUCUGAAUUCUGCUUCUUUAUCUGUGAAGCAGAGGUCCAUGAUUCCCUCCUCGGGUUGUGCCCUAGCGACUCUGACUCUGGACACUUGCACCUGUUUGUUAUGUGAGCCCCAGGAGUGCAGGUGACAAAGCCACAGGGGCCUACAACUAACUAGCGUGACUUCAGUUAACCACUGUCACCUCACUAAAGCACCCACUUUUUAUCUGGAAGUGGAGAUAAGCCUGCCUCUCAGGGAUGAGAGUCAUCUUAAAGAGUGCUAAGAGAGGGCUAUGAUAAUACUGUCUUCUUCCUUGUCUCUUGGUAGUUAGUCUAUCUCUUCUCCCCUAGACACCCCUGGGGUUCCUCUGGGUGCCUACUGGGGUGCUGGGUGCCACGAUGCUGUUUCUCAGCAACACUCCCACCCUUCCUAGUAGCCUGCAGGCUCACAUGUCUGCAUUCUCAUUGGAAAUGCCCUAGCACAAGAAAGCACUCAGGGCCACGGAAGCUCAGGCCUGUGUGAGCAAUCUCACAUCUCCAGUCAGCUUUUGCAGGGUUCCCAGAACGGCAUGUCCACUCAGAACCUGGGGCUGGCGCAGCUACACAUCCUUUUCAGGAGAGCACAGCCUCGAGGCAGCAGGAACUCAGGGUGACUCAGCUUCACAUGUGACAAACAGCCUGUGAAGUAAAACAGACCAGAGCUCCAGCACGGCUGCCUUCAGACUUUGGGGAAGGAAGUGGGAGGCACGAGAGGUAAUGGACAGCGUUGAACUCACACGUCACCUCAGGAGGCUAAUAGAUACCAAAUGCAUGCUCUGCUGAAGCCUUACCACAGCCACCUGAGUGUGUGAUGGUCUGAGAGGUCAGGCCUCUCACAGGGGAUCAUAGUCAGUAGAUCAGGGAUCUGAGCAGAGCCAUCUGACGUAGACACCCUCGUUCUUCCCUAACAACAUAUCAGGAAAAAAAAGUCUUUUCCCCCAACCCCACUUCCUGUGGCACUUCAGAGUUCCCUGUGUGUAGUUAAAAAAAAAAAAAAGAAAGAAAAAAGAAAAGAAAAGAAAAAAAGGUAAAAUAAAAGACUGACCCAUUGAAUUUUAUUUUUCAAAGUUUGCAUCAAAUAAUGUUCCUAGGUCCUUUUACCAUUUACACCCAGGGCUGUCUUUCCCCUCACAUCCUUGGUUUAUGAUAGCCAGGGAGUGCACAGCGAGUGCUGGGGCAGGAGCCUGUGGAGUGGGUGCCACCAUUAUAGGGCUGUGGAAGGGCGAGUAGCAGAAUCACUUCCAUGGCUCUGUCCAGCACUAAAAUCAAAGCCACAACCAACCCUGCUUUGGGGUUCAGGGGUUGGGAACACCACUCUCAGGGAACACUCAGAGGAGGUGUGGCCUGGCAGGAAGCAUUAGGCUAUGCCAAACAGGAAAGGGGAGGGCAGGCCAGGGAGGGACUGAAACGUCACCAGGAUGCGUGCCAAAGUUGGGUGGGCCUAAAUACUAGGGCAGAGCUGCUGGGCACAUGACUCUGUUGAAAAUCUCCCAGGGAAUAACCUCUAAUCCCUGCCUUUUUGAAAGGUUUGGGGAAGGCUCCAAUCUGCCGUCUGCCGGUCUGGGAUAUGGGGGGAAUCCUAUGCUGGCACAUAGCCACAGGGACAUUUCUCAGGGAAAGCCUUUGGCCCAGUAAGUCUGUUUUCUCUUUUCUUUGGAGACUAGGAUUUCGAACGUGUUCAGGAAAAAUGUAACAUACAAACAAACAGCCUUGGCCAUCUGUGUCUCCCCCUUGGAGCCAGGGCAAGCCUGGGGAAAUGGGGGUACUUAGCCUCCCUGGGCUCUCUAACUGUAGGCCAUCCCUUUGUAGCCAGUCUCUGGAUGGAUUAGUUGCUUUUGCACAAUGUUAUUCCAGGUGAUUUCAAUGUAAAGCACUCUUUCCUUUUUCUGUGGGUCAGAACCCCUGGUUUACUUUUUAAGCUAUAGUCAAAAUGUCUGCCAGCCCUUAACUUCUGCCUGUGAGCUUAGCAGUUGGUGUUUCAUGUUACUCUCUGCAUAGCAAAGUGUUCGGGACAGAACCUGGUGCACAGCAAUGCUCAGUGGAGGAUGCCUAAGGUCCCUAUGAAUUACCUUAAUUCUGUUGUGUGCUCAUGGCAGAUAGGGUUUGUCUUGUGCAUUGCAGACACUGCAUGAGAAGUCUGUGGGCUUCAGGAGGGUAGGGACUGUGUGUUUACUCUGCAGUGUCUCCAAGCACAUGCCUAUCCAAAGGGAAUUCCAAGGGUGGCAAUCUGGUCACUCAAGCUGGUGAGCCAGUGCAGUGACUUAUGUCUAGAAUUCCAAAAUCAGUUCGGAGUCACUGUAGGCUAAAGAAUAGAGAAUCAGGGCAGAGUGUAGAUCUUGGCUUGCUUCUUCUUCAACUGUCUACUACCUUUAUGACCUUGGAAAGAUUGAUCUUUUUGAACCCUAAAUACCUAUUUUCCAAAGAACAAAGAUCAUAGCGUCUGCUUGUCUGUUUCACAGGUUUGUUGUGGGCACCAGUGAGCGUGCACAGACGGUGUGCCAGUUGUGGGAAUCCUCCUGGCGUCCCUGGCCAUUGCCACUGCUGUGAUUUAGAGUGAAAUGUCUCUUAUUGGCUCCUGGGUUGGCACUUGUUUUCCAGCUGGUGGUGCUGUUUGGAAAGGUCAUGGAACCUUGAGGAGGUCUUGUUGGGGUAGGUAGUCACAAGGGUGAGACUUGAGGGUAGAUAGCCUGGUCACACUUCCUGCCUGCUCUCUGGAUCUUGAUGGUAGAUCAGUGUGACUAGCCGCCACAUGCUGCAGUUGCCCUGUCUUCCCUUCUGUGGCUGACUGAAUUCUUUCUUCCACUGUGACCAAGAAGAAACCAUUCCUUCUUUAAAUUGCUAUUGCCACAGCCAUUUGAAGAGUAAAUCAAACAUACAACUGCCACAUUUGCCAGAAUGCAACCUGUGGAUGCUGUCAUGGGUGGAUAGCAGCCACUACAUGUGCUCCAAAUGCAUAUUCUUUAAGUUUUGGAAUAGUGUUUCUCUUCUAAUCGUACAUGUUAAGUAAUGACUUUAACCUUUGAAAGCUUCUUUUGACUGGGCCACUUUCCAGCUUUAAAAUGUUGACCUUACAUUUCAGAGUACAGUUCAUAGGUGUCCUGUAAAAGGGAGAAUCAAACACUCACAGUAUUUGCUGUUUGUUGUCAUGUGAUCAAAGAGGGGAGAAGCCAGGGGCUAUCUGAAGGUAUAGAAAAAAGUGUAAGUCACAGCCCUAACUCUGGAAGAAUUCACAGUAUGGUUUGUUAGCCAGAGCUGAAUGCUUGACUUGUAGGCAAAGCACAUUUUAUAUAUAUAUAAAAGGUGGUUUGUGAAGACUUUACAGAGAAAUGGGCUUUGUUUGGGGUUUCUAUUUCUGCGAAAAGACACCAUGAUCCCCCACUUCCCAGCUCUUAGAAAGGAAAACAUUUGAUUGGGGCUGGCUUACAAUUUCAGAGGUUCAGUUCAGUAUCAUCAUGACAAGUAGUGUGGCGGCGUGCAGGCAGGCAUGGUGCCGGAGAAGGAGCUGAGCGGUCUACAUCUGGAUCUGCAUAUAGCACCAAGUAAAAAGACUGAGCCACUAGGCCUUUCUUGAGCAUCUGAGACCUCAAAGCCUGCCCCCACAGUGACAUACUUCUCUGACAAAGCCACACCUGUUCCAGGAAAGCCAUACCUCCUAGUAGUGCCACUCCCUAUGGGCCACGCUUUAGAACACGUGAGUCUACAGGGGACAUUCCUCUUGAAAUCACCACAGUAUUCAGCCUUACAAAAGACUGAUGCUUACUCUGUAAUCCCGAGAACGUAAUUCAAAAGCCAGGUCAGUGCCACUGGACACUGCUAACAGAGAUAUGGGUAGGAUUACGGUUUUUCUUUUUAUUUCUGAGCAUAAAACAUUCAAACAUUUUAGUAAUGUACCCAUUUUAAAAUGUCCGAAUUUUCAAAGCUGCUGACAUUCUGGGGUUGCUGCUUUCAUGAUGAGAACAUGAAAUAUAUAUUUUUCAUCAGACAUGGUAUUCUUUACCUAAAAGAUGUUACAGAGAAAGCUGUUUACAGAAAGCGUUCAUUUUUGUAGCUUCCACAUUAUGAUAGCAAGUGACAAAUCAGCUAGGCCAGGGUACAGUGUGAGGCAGUAUACUUCAGUAACCCAACAAAGAAAACUUUAAAAACCACUUAGUAAACUGAAAAUGAAGCUGUCGUGUAUAAUAGCAGUCUACAGGGACAGUCAUAGUCAAAAGUCAAUCAUAGUCUGCACGUUUAUGUCGAAGAAUUAGAAUGAACGAGAAACAGGCAAUUGAAUAUCUAACCAAGGAAUGUAGAGAUUGAGAUGCAAAAUAAAACUAAGACAAGCAGAGAAACAAACCUAAAAUAUGUAAAGGGUUAAAAAGCUAAUUAGAAAACAAACAAAAUUAUAGAUUUUUAUAGGUUAAAAAAAAACAGUAGAACCCUCUAGAAAACUUGUUGGACAAGAGAGAUAGAGAUAGAGGGGGAGACGGAGGGAAAGAGAGAGGGAAGGAGGGAGGAGAGGGAGAGGGAGGAAGGGAGGGGGAGAGAGAGAGAGAGAGAGAGAGAGAGAGAGAGAGGGAGAGAGAGAGAAGAGAGCACAAGAGAGCGAGAGAGCGAGAGAGCAUUAGAUUACUGGUAACUGAGAAGUUUGUAAAUUGCCUGUCUCUUACCUCUCUUAGUCACUGAACAAACCCCAUGUGCCACACAUUUGUGUUUCCAGUUUUUCUAAUGAUCAAACUGAGGAUCCAAAAACCUAGUUGACUUUGGGAUGCCAUACAACCAGUGGUAAAGACUAAGGAGAAGGCAUCCUUGUUCCCAAGCAGGUUGUGAGGGUUGCUGGGGUUCCUCGUCAGCCCUCAGCAUGUCGUGCGUGUCCGCCUUCAUCAUUACACAGUAUCGUCUGUGGUAAUCCAUCCUCACCCACGGGUCUCUCUGGGAGUGUCUGCAGAGAGGUUUGGCUGAGGAAGGAAGACCCACCCUGCCAUGGUGGCGUCCUUUGGAUUGGGUCCUGGACUGAAGAACAGCAAAAAAGACCUACACACAAGCGUUGGUUACUGUGCUUCCUCCCUGCAGAAGGCAUGGCUAGACAGCGUGUACUCUCACUCCUGUGCCAUUCCCACCUUGAUGGACGAAUCUCUUCUUAAACUGACCCCAAGUCUUCCUUACACUGCGUUUGUCAGGUAUUCUGCCCAGCGACGGGAGAGGUCACUUAAGAUACUCCCAUGUGUCCUCAUGUUAUCUUUCCACUCUGCAUUGAUCUCUGUUUUCUCCACUUCCAAGAUGGAUUAGUGUCCUGAUACUGGAGAAACUUAAGUUUUUCAGUUACAUCUGGUAUUAACUAUUUAUGUAAUGUUGUAUUAUGUAUUUAAUCUCAAUCUGCCAUUUCUACCUCUCCUUAGAUCAUUCAGUUCCCAGAUAAAAAACACAAAACUUUCAUAUUUAUAAUCAGCCUUAAUCAGCUCUGGAGCUGGGCAAAUGCCUGUCCUCCAAGCCUUCAUGUCUACGUCUAUGUCCAUAACCCCAAGGGAUCACUUGCCAUGUUCCUUGACUCUUCCAUGCUGCUCUUGACUCCAAUUGGCCAGUUCUAUGUCCAUGUUUUCAUGAUUCAUCUACCUCACGGCAUUUUCUCUUCUUUCCACCUUCUCUCUCUUUUUUCCUCUUUGUGGCUUCUCCUCAGACUCCAAGCCCAGGAACUGAAACCCCACCAUUCUCUCUGCUGCUCAGCUGUAGGCUGUUGGUAUCUUCGUCCAACAAAUAGUUUUAAAUUAAGGAGGAAGAUCACAUAGUAUUACUUAGAGUAUGUGCAGAUUUUCUCCUCCCUGAAGCACACGGGUCAGUAUUAGGCAUUAUAGUACAUAACAACAGACCAUACAUCAACAGUCUAAUACUAUAUUUUGAGCUCCACGUGGAUAUAAAAUUUAGAGAGUUGAGACUUUAGCCCAAGUUAAAUGAAAAUAAAUAUAUUUACUACUUGUAGUUUUAACGAUCUUCAUUCUGUAUCCAUCUAGUAAAUCUGUGGAUAGUGCUUAAAGUGGCCACCACACACACACACACACACACACACACACACACACACACACACAAGACCACUGCCCAUAUAAUUAGGAGUUUACUCAAGAAACACGAGGCAGUGGGGAUUAGUUUUAUACUUCUGUUCCAAUCAGGCACUUUACAAGGGAGGUAGAGUAGAACCGAGGACAGUGGCCAAUAUCCCCAAAUCUUAUUACCCUCGUUACAAUGGAAGAAAGUCUUAGAAAAUCUGAAGAGGGCAAGAGGAAAGGUAUGUGAAAGGUACUUGAAGGGCCACCAGCUCUAUGAGUCUGGGUUUGGCCGUGUCCCUAGUUAGAACACAACCAAUUGGUAGAAACUAUGGUGAAUUUGUUUGUUUAUAUUGGGGGUGGGGAGGAAUGGGGUGUACUGUUCAUUUAACCCAGGUUCUUACAUGUGCUAGGCAGGCACUGCACCAUUGAGCUUCAUUUGCAGGUUCAGAGGAUUCUAGUUCAACUAUGUUAGUGGAAGAGCCUUAAUAACUAGAAAUAUCUAAAGGCAUUAGCUGCUGCUGAAUUUUACUACUUGCUAACCAUACCAAACUAAGACCAGGCAAACUGAUGAGUUGGCCACCCUUGUUUAUGGAGUUUUAGGCUAAAUUAAAAAAAUUAUUUAUUUAUUUAUUUAUUUAUUUAUUUAUUUAUUUAUUUAUUUCAGAGCUGAGGACCAGCAAGCGGUCUACCACUGAACUAAAUCCCCAACCCCUAAAAAUUUUAUUUUUAAUUUCUGCACAUUUAUGUAUAUGUACGUUUUGCCUGCAUGUACGAGCCUCACAUGUGUGUCUGAGGGGCCAGAAAAGGGUAUUGAAUCCCCUGGAGUUAAGAAUGGUUGUGAACCGCCAUGUGGGUGCUGGGGAUUGAACCUAGGUUUUCUGCAGGAGUAGACAGUGUGCUUAACCAAUGAUCCAUCUCACCAACCUCUGGUUUAAAAAAGAAAGGAAGAAAGACGUAAAAGUAAUUGUGGCAGCAGUAGUAACAGUUGUGGGAGUAGAAGGAGAGACAAAUACCAUCUCUAAGGAGAAUCCUAGGCCUGGGGAUGUGGCUCAGUGGUAGAGCACUCAACAAGCAUGCUCAGGGUCCUGGGUUCAAUCACCAAUUUGAACAAACAAAUGAACAUGGGCCUGGUGGCACACACAAGUAUCUGAGAGGGUGAGGCAGGAGGAUUGUAAUAAGUUCAGGUCCAGUCAGAGCUACAAAAUAAGUUCAAACAAAGACUUGAUACGAAGGAAGAUCUUAAGAAACAAAAACUAAAUGCAUAAAUAAUUUAAGAGGGUGUAAGGUGUCCCUGACAGCCCUCUAAGAAGCUUUUUAGGUGUCUGCCCUGCUUAGUUAGCAAUGUAUUCGAAGCACCCAGUGUUGGCAUUGGUCAAACACGAGCUGAUCAAUGUCAAAGGCUCUUAUGCUGAGACUCGAGGCUAUGAAGCACUUUGAUCGUAGGAGAAAAAAGUAUAUGAGGGCAAGAUGGUAAAAAUAGAGAACCUGGGUGCAGCGACUGGUGAGUACAAUGUCUGGUGUGCUCUAGCCUUUUCCUGUGGCUACUAAUAUAUUUCUGGGGAGGCCCUUGAAACAAUAAGUCUCUUAUAUUUUAUGUAUUCUUUCUUUUUUUUUUUCUUUUUUUUUUUUCGGAGCUGGGGACCGAACCCAGGGCCUUGUGCUUGCUAGGCAAGCGCUCUACCACUGAGCUAAAUCCCCAACCCUUAUGUAUUCUUUUUUCCAUCUUCCUUCCUUUCCUUCCAUUUUCUCUGUUGAAAAAGACAACGCUCUCUUAGAAAGGAUAUCAUUAGAUAUUCUUUCAGGCCAAGCAUAGGUGCAAAUUAAUCGUCCAUUAAAAUGCCCUGUGGACAAAGUUGGGUAUGAGAUUGGUCGAAGGAUGAGAAGUAAUUGGGACAGACGAGGUGCGGAGGAGUAUGGAGCUGAGAAGGUACUAUUGGGAAGCAGAGUGUGUACUCAACAGCUUCGGGCCACACACAGCUCUUUCCUUCUGGGUUUCUACUAGGAGAACCAAACAUGAUUAUUCUUAUGAGGCAAAGAGCAGGAAAGGGGAAGGAAGAUUUCCUGGGCAACUAGUAUAUGGCAGACACUCUAGGAGCUUACACACACACACACACACACACACACACACACACACACACACACACACACACACCGCACAGACAUACAUGCAUCACAAACACAUACUGCACACACAACAUAUACACACAUACCAGCACAUUCACAUACACACAUAGACAUACACACAAAUACACCACAAACACAUAUACAUACACACAUAUACACCAUAAACAUACACAAAAACGUAUGUACUAUAAAUAAACAUAUACAUGCAUACUACAAAUGAAUAUACAUAUGUACAAAAUAUACCUACACACAAAAAACAUGCCACAAAGUACAUACACAUAGCACCUACACACACAUAUCACAAACGCACACAUAUUUACACACAAAUACACCACAAACACACCACAGGCAUACUACAAAAACAUGCACACACAAAUAACACAUACACAUACACCACAAACAGAGAGAAAUACACACAAAUAUACCACAAAUACAUACAUACAUACAUAUACACACAUACAAACUCACACAUGUACAUACAAAACACAUGCAUACUACAAAUAUACAUAUUUACAUACAUAUACACGCACAGACAACAUACAUACACAUGCCACAAACACACACACACACACAAAACAUAUACACACAUCACAAACACACAUUUUCAAAGAUGGUAUUAACUUCACAGAGAAUUAAAAUAUGUGGUGACUUGCCCAAUGUGUCAGUUAGAAGCUGGUCCAGAUUUAAGACUGGUUUUGUAUGACUUUACAAAAGUCAUUUUUAACUUCCCAUCUUCAAUUCACAUCUCUGCCGAUGAAAGCAGAACCUUUUUGCAGCUUCCUCUGUCUUUGUUUCUGCCUCUUUUGGGAGCCUUCUUUCCCAAGUACCUUAGUAGGUGUUCUAUUGCUGUAAAGAAAUACUAUGAGUGUGACAAAUCUGAUACAGUUUCAGAGGCUUAGUCCACUGUUACUGUGGCAGGGAAUGUGGUGGCACAUAGGAAGCCAUGGUGCUGGAGAUUAGCUGAGAGCUCUACACAUGGAUCCACGGGCAGCAGGAAGAGAAAGGAGAGACAGUCACUGAGCCCAGCUUUGGCAUUUGAACCUCAAAGCCCACCCUCAGUGAUACACUUCUCCAAGAAAGCCUUACCCACUCCAACAAGGCCACAUGUCCUAAUCCCUCUCAAGUAGUGCCACUUUCUGGUGACUAAGCACUGAAACAUAUGAACCCAUAGAGGGGAGGGGCAUUCUUAUUCAAACCACCAUACCAAGUGUCCCAGUCUCAUAGAAGCUUACAGAAAGGAUCCUGGAGGCUGCUGAGGCCGAGCAAUGUAUGGCAGGAUUAGAUUCUCUGCCCAGAGAUCCUGAGAGGCCAUUGUGUGAAGCUGUAAAGGUGACACACACUACCCCCAUCCUCUUAGAAGCAGCAAGUCAGGAUCUGGGAUGUGUGUGGUGAUUGAUGCCCUAAUCUCAACAGAAUCAACUAAGAGACAAACCUCUGGUCAUGUUUGUGGUGGAAUCUAGACUGAGUUAACUAAGGUGCAGCACCAGUCCCUAGACUGGAGACCUGGACAAAAUACAAAAAAGAAAGUAAGCUGUGUACCACACUUUCCUACCACAAUUGACUGUGCCCUUCAACUGUGAGACAAAAGGAAGCCUUCCUCCUUUAAGUUUGCUCUUGUCCGGCAUUCUGUUACAGCAGUGGGAAAGGUAGCGUGAUGUGCUUGUUGGAAGGGCUUUGCUAACCAUAACAGGAAGUGGAGAAAAUCUCAGGAAGCCAACUAGUCAAACUGCUGUGCAUGCAUGCACGAACUUAUUAGCAUGAAGAAAUGCAAGGGCAUAGAGACUCUAGCUUAGGAUCUACCAUCCUGUAAUAUCUAUGGGACCCAAGUCUGUCUGCUCCUUGGAGACUCAGUUAUACUAUCUUUAAAAUGGAUGAAUUGCACUUACUUUGUCCCACUGAAGAAACUAUACUGAAAGAUUACCUUGACUGUGGCAAUAAGUAAUAUACCAGAGAGUAAGUAAGACCAUUGGAAAAUGUUUAUAGUAAAUAUUCUGUGUGUCCCGGUGGACAUGAAUGAAAGAAGAAGUGGUAUUGUUAUUUCUUGAUGGCCAGUAUGUUCAUGUCAAAGAAAUCCAGACAAUCUAGCUUAAGUCCAGGUAGAUGGUGAGAGGGCCAUGGGUGGAUCCAGCCUCACAGGCAGCUAGCUCCACGUGUCCAGCACUGGGGCCACUGUGCCUCUGGGUCCUCCUACUUAUUCUCUUCAGAUUCUUCUGGGUCCUCCUACUUGUUCUCUAUUCAGACUCUUUCUUUGAUAUUCCUUGUCAUGGUCACUGUUUUAUUACUGUAAAGAAACACGGUGACCUAAGAAACGUACAAAAGAAAGCAUUUAAUUGAGGGCUUGUUUUAGCGUCAGAGGAUCUGCCCAUGACAUGUUGAGGAGCAUGAUCAUUGACAGGGUGAUAGAGCAGUACUGAGAGCUUACAACCUGACCUUCAGGCAGUAGGCAGAGAGAGGGAGACUGGUCUGGUGUGGACUUUUGAAGCAUCAAAGCCCACCCUUAGGGACACGCUUUCUCCAACAACGUCAUGCCCCCUAAUCCUUCCUACUCAGUUCUACUAACUGUGGAAUCAAGCAUUCAAAUAUCCAAUCCAAUGGGGGGCAUUUUCAUUUAAGUCACUACAGAACAGGUGAGCUUCCUGCCUAUGGCAAGCAGUGUGAUCAGUUGUCAGUGCUCCUCAUGUGCCUUCUUCAGGUCUGUAGACGGGAAUGCAUGUAAUAGAAAAGUGGAUGGUCAUAUACACACAGUGUAAGUUCCCGUUUUCACUGUCUGUGAUGAGUGAAGGAAGGCUUUGUUCCUACAGAUCAGAUAGGAAAGUCUCAUAGCCAUGCUGUAAUUGGCCUGGAUGGUCACAUGCAUGCCUCGGAUAAAUCUCCGUGGUCAAGGAUGGGGAUUACCCCUGGCUUGCCUUGCAUCUCAGGAUUUUCCAGUGUGUCUAAGAGGAGAGGGAAACACACAGAGACAUAGCCACUUCCAUUUGUAACUACCACAGAAUUUAAACAAUAAAAGAUCCCAAAGAAUCCGGAUCCUCAACAUGUUCUAGUUCUGGGGACGCAAGCUACCUGCAGAUGUCUGGAGAUGUUUGCACUGGUAGGAAAUCUUGCCAGUCCGUUAUCCCCCUUAGUUUUGGGCAGGCAUAAGGUACAGAAGAGGUUCAUUCUGUCAAAUCAAGUUAGGGAAUAGAGUGGACGAGCUGACAGUUCCCAGCAACUUUCCAGCCCAACAGAGGACAGACAGAUACCUGAGCCUCAAAAGCAUGUCUGGAGCACCCAUCGUCACAUAAGAGACCCACGGGGUGCCUGACAGGAAGAAGUGCCACAAUGGAAUUAAGCCUUCUGGCUGACUGGACUACUGUGUCCAGAGUUGGAAAAGCAUCCUCGAAGGAAUGUAUGAGGCCCACUGUGCCUUGUUGGAGGAUUAGGGAGGAAGGUAGGACCAGAUUUGGUACUUGGAGGAGUUUUGAAGUAUGUCAUCCACAGUGAUCAUUGCAGGUGCCUUCUCUACAUCAGUAACCAUGGUCUUUACAGGAGGCCUAUGGCACAACCCCCGGUUGCACAGCAAGCUGCCAUGGUGUUGCCCUUUUUAAGAACAAAACUUAACACUGGAGUGUGCACCACAGCAGUUGGGAAAUCACUACAGGGCUACUUUACUUUUCAAAAGAACUAAGCCCCACUGCUAAUAAGAAUCACUAUUAAUGCUAAUCAUCACCUCCUGACACCUCUAUUGCCACAGAGCAAACUGACCUUCAAAGCUCCAGGAACAUUAAUUACCCCUUCCAGCUCCCCUGUGCAAACUUAAAUUGGGGUCUGAGUACAGGGUGUGGAGUCAUAAAGUCCAGGAAACCAGAUUGCCCCCCUACCCACCCUCCCAUCUUUAGUAGAGAAAACUGGAUCUACAAAAGGCCCAUCUAGUUCCCACUGUCAAAGGGAGAGGCGGGAGGAUAAGGAGCUGACCAUGGUUUCUGAGGUCAUGGAGAAACUUAAUUAGAAGGUUCAGGGUAUACUUUCAUGAAGAAAGAGUGGUUGGGAUCCUCCCUUCUCCACUUCAAGCCCCUCAGAGUGGCGGUACAGUAUAUCCUGUGAGACCCAUUUGUCUGCCUCAGGGGUGGCUGACUGACCCAAUCUGUUCUCGUUCUCAUGCUUGAUGCUGGGGAGACACAGAGGAGCAGUCCAGACCUCCAUUCUCUUGCUGUUAAAAUGUCCAUUGGGACUGGGAGCCUCCAGGGGCUCAGACUAUUUAUUGAGGGUUUGCUUGCCUCUGGUAGGAAUUUUAGCUUGGCCUUGUUUGUGCCUUUGCCAGGAUCUUUUCCUCAGACACACUCAUUCAGCACUCACUGGGCAGUAAGGCGGCUUCAAGUAAGCAGUGGAAGAAUUUGGCCCCCAACUUUUUAGUUUGUGGUUAAACAGAAGACCAUCAGAAGCAGAUACCAAUUGGGGUGCUAUGCUUUGAUAAAGGGAAACUCAGAGACUGAGGAACCCUGAGGUAAAGUACUCCUUUCCUAACCUGCAUGAGGGAUCCUGUGUACCUCCUAGAGGUCUAAGGAAGUCUCCCUGAGCUCUUCCUGGUGCCUCAAUUCUCUAGAGAAGAAACCUCCUGACAGACCCCGGCUCCAAGUCAACAUCUUCUCAGUCCCUCGUCCCCAAGUGCCUGUGCCAAGCUUAUUGUGCAUCCAACCUGUAUUUGGGAAUAACUCUUUAGGUAUAAAGUGUUAUGCUUAGGAUGACAGAAUUAAUAAGCAUUGAGUUCCUGAGGUUUGCAAGAGUACCCAACAGUCUGCUGAACACGCUCACAACUCAGGAAGCUGAGAGUCUCAGGGCUGGCCUGGGUGCAGGUUGCUCCUCCACCUGUACAUCCUCUCAUAUUCUUGCUUUGGGUGGCAGAGGCUCAGGUGGAAAGCGAGUUUCAUGUCAUCCUGAAUAUAAAAGGUUAUACUUUAAGAGGUGUCCCCAAACACAGGGCUGGAAGUGUGACAAGCUUGGCACAGGUACACAGGGAGGCUGGACUGAGAAGAAGCUGAGGCACAAAGUCUGGGGUGUCAGAAAAGGCUUAUUUCCAGAGAAAUGGGCCAUCAGGAAGAGCUUGGGUAAGCUGCCUCGGCCUACUGGGAGGUACCCUCAAAGCCUCUCCUUCUUACCUUUUUGUUCUUGGUUACCAUGCACCGAGAAAAGAAGUAGUUUUGUUCUUGGCAUUCUGGCCUGGAGCAUCUGAGGAACAGUGGGUUUUCCCUGGACACCUGUUUUGCAUUUCCCUUUGGAGUGACUCCAGGGAAGAGCAGCAGGUGAAGACGUUAACUGCCCAAGGUAGUUUGCUUUUUCCUGUCCCUGUUCCCUCCAGGCCUGUCACUGGAGCAGCUGCCCAGCCAACCAGAAGUGCUAAGCAGCUGCAAACCUUUCUCCUGGCUUCCCCAGCCUCCUCCUCGAUUUCCUCUGGGUUUACUUCAUGGCCUGUGUCUCUGAGGAACACGACUUGCUUACUUAUUUCCUAGUGUUCUCUAUCCUCAUUCAACAUCCCCAGCACCCACCCAUGAGUCUGUGAGGUGUUGAGUAUGGCCUACGUCCUUGUGGGUAGCAUCAGAGGAUGGAUGAGCAGUGCACAGAGGAGGUGCUUCUAUACAGACAGAGAAGAAUUGCAAGGGAGGGGUAUGGGCUUGGUUUUAAAGGACACCUGGGGUUUUCUAUUCAAACAGAUGGGAGCUGUCCUACUGAAGAUUCUAACUACUGUUUGGUCCCCAAAGAGCCCCACAGUCCACAGGUGUGUUUGUGUUCUCUGUGGACAGCUUGCAUGCUUAGGAUCUCAACACUCCCCAUCCCCCUCCACACCAGUGUCUUGGCUCAUGUCUGCUGAUCUUUGCGUUUCCUGUGAACCUGUUUCAUUUUAUCAGCAUCCUUCAGGACACAGAAGCUACCAUGUUGCUUAGAGACAUGGCCUUCAGAAUGGUGGGAGGCCUGGGUUUGAGUGUCGGCUUUAACUCUUGCUACCUAGUAGAGCUUAGGCAAGGUUCUCUGAGCCUUACUUUCCUUAUUUGUAAAACUGGAGGCACGGAUAGCCUCACAGGCUUGCCAUGGGGCUCACAGCGAAGUGCGCAUAUAAAGUCACCACUUUAUAGAGAGGCGGACAAUCUAGGGAUCAGCCAAUAGCUACUAAGGGUAGGACAGUUUGCCAGAGCCCCACUGUUCCCUCAAUCCCCAACACUGGCAUUUUACAAAGUUGAAGAGCAGGGAUCCUUUUGGAAGACACACCCUUUGUUGACUCACCCUCCACUCCCACUCCCUGUCCCCCCACCCCCACCCUAGCUGCCUCCUCCUUGGAAGCUUUUGGUUUUCUUCUCAAGGGCUGCACUAAGUCACAUCUCACAGCCAUUUCCUGGAGUCAUUGGUGUGGUGGAGUCUUGUCCAGGGCCUGACAUUUAGGCUUGUGAAAUUCCACUGUGGGUACAUUUAGCCCAUCCUUCAAAACCAUCUUGAAUCUUACUUCUCCCUCCUAAUAUUUACUAGCCUGUUUCCUAACAGGAUUUCCUCCCUGCUCAAUCCAUGGAACACUCCCGAGUUAGAGAAGUUCUCUGAAAAGGCUUUUUCCUUGUGUUCUUUUCCUGUUCAAAAUGCUUCCCAGACUGUUUAAUACAUGAAGUUCAAACUCUGUAGCCAAGAGUAACAAUGUUUCAAAAGUCAACCCUGAGCCUUUAGGCUGUCUUGUUUUCUUUCUCAGGACCAAAUGCAGAUAGAAAACACAGCCAUGAUCUCUGUAAAGAUGAACUGAGGUCUGUCGGAAAUGCACUUAGCACGUGAUUUUCCAGAGCUCUUCAGGGUCUGUGAUCGCAGACCGUUUGCCACCCUGAAGACCAGACUGAACAUGUGUGUAUUCAAGGGUCAUCUAAGACUCGAACUUAGCCGUGUCCUUUAGUCUAGUGAUGUCGACAGCCAGAAGCCAACCAUCACGUGCUCAGCCAGUCCUUGUCAUGGGAACUGGGGCUCAGGAAAAACUCACUGACGUUCUGGUCAUGGAUGAAGCUGCAUGUCCUAAUGUGAGUCUUUAGGUUGUUGGUGAAUGUUCUGAGAAGCAACUGUGGAACUCUCCAAGCCUCUCCUUUUGUUUUGUUUUCUUAGCUAUGAGGUGAGAAGCUUUGCUCUCUGUUCCUUGCUGCUACCAUGAGGCAGUCCCAUCAGAUCUCUGAAAAGUGUACACCUGACUACGGUCUAAGGGCCAGAACACACUUUUUUUUUUCACGCGUUGAUCACUGCAAGGAAUUUGAUAUAGUGGCAGGAAGCUGACCGACAUAGAUGCCCACACAAUUGGUUGGAGCACAUGUUUGGGUGUGUCUUUUAAGGGAUUUUCAAUAACUCACUGAGGAAGAUGCAUCCUGAAUGUGGGUGGCACCAACUACUAGGCAGGGGGUUUGGAUAGAAUGAGGUAGAUGCACGGGUCCUCUGCUUCGGCCUGGAGCUGCACACCUACCUCCUGCCUCAUUUGGAUGCUUCCACCCUAACACUCGGUAGCUCUGCUUUCCCCGACUUCCCAGCCUGCAGGCACAGUCAUCAUGGGACUCUUAUCUCAGGCCACAUGAUCCUUUCUGACAGAACCUCUCAGAAGAUUGUAUAGAUUCAGCUGAUUCUGUCUGAAGAAUACUGGCCACUACUGAAGGAUCCCAGAGCUACGGAACUCAAAGUUUUAAACAGACAUGCUUGAAGCAGACAUACCCUCUGCGUUAGAGAGAGACAAUUACCUCUGCUCUUGUACAAACACCUUUGGAAAGAUAGACUGGAAAGCAGGCAGUUGGUAUUUUGUUCACAGAGGAUGCAGAAACGGGACACUGGGAUAUCUGCCUCCCAACAAGGCCUAAAACAUCACAGGUCUCUCUGACUGUCAGCUAUAGUGGGAGCAGAAAUACUUCUGCCCUAGGUGUAUCAAAUCCUUUACUAUGGGGUCUCCUAUUCAGCAUGGCCCUUGAGCCUGACUGCUUGGUGCCUUUACUUGCCCAGUUCUUCAGGUCUUCUCAUCAUCUGCCUGAUCCUUCAGCCUCAGCUCCACAGGACCUCAUUCUUGACUACUCUAAGCCCUUAGUGAAUACUCACACCACAUACUCAGUUUAACAAAUCUGGUCAUGUUGGCAGCCCCUAGAAAGUGCUGGGUACACAGACACCUCCAGUGGCAUUCAGUAUCUGGGCUGAUUGACAAGGCAUGCAAUUUAGUUCCCACUCUGUCUCCUUUCAGUGUGUCACUUUCCCUUUGCCUUAGAGAGCUGCAAGGCCUAGGAGACCCUAUUUGGAAAUGUUUACCUUUUCAAAGGUGCUAUUCACUUCAGCUUUAUAGAAGGGGAAAAUCCUACUAGUCAUUUUUACAGUAAUUUAAAAACCACAAACUUCAUGUCCUUUUAAGUUAGUAAAUAUAUGAAACUCAUUUCACUCUUAAUAGUCUAUAAAAAUCAACAUCAGUUUAAAUUAAUCAUCUGUUUGUAGCUUACAUGGUAUGGUUCAAAUCUCAAAUGCAUUUUUUACAGCAGCGUUUGAAGGCCGACGUAGGAAAGAAUGACAGAAGGGACCCCGCCAAGCCUGGAGCCAGGUUUGAUGCUGGCUCCCAGUGUUCCCUAAGAAUGAUAAAAUUACAGCAGCAGACAGAAGAUCAGAAACUCCAUGAGCCCUCCACGAGACUUGGGGGAGCACACUGGCUUUACGAGUAGCCCUCCAGGCUCAGGCCUGCACGGAGUUCUGCUUCUCCUUAUUACUGAACCUCGGUCUCUUUAUUUGUAAAAGUGUGAAAAUGUAACACACAGCAUGGGCUCACCUCGAAGACUGGAUGGGGUGACACGUUAAACACUAAAAAGAGCGGGUGGCACACGGCGCGCUUGACUGUUACAGAUUUCAUAAUCAGAAAGACCUAGAUUUGGGUGGCAGAGAAAGCACUGACAGCUGGUAUGCUGGAUCCCUCAAGCUCUAGGUCAUAUAACGAUUUCUUCCUCAGUUUUCUUUUCUAUUAAAUGGGGUCAAAAGUGACACCAACCUCAGAGGGCUGAUUGUGUGGGUGGACUGGAAGGUAAUCUUCUAUUUACUCAAAGAAGGUGCUAAGUAGCUGUGAGGUGGAGAGCAGGGUCUGUCAUUCGAAGUCCUUAUCUCCCCAUUUGUCAGUCCAGGAUGCCCUGUUUUGCCAUAUGAGUUUAUGAGCUAGAAGUCACAUUUAUGAAGCACUGACCCCAAUGACAAGUACUUAUGAGGAUCGUGUAAGACGGAUGCUUUUAUUUCUAAGUUCCCUCCUGCUUUGUCUGAGUUCUAGCUCUGGAUGAAUGGAUGAGGCAAGUUUGAUUUUCCAAGGUUUCUUUGACAGCCCAGAGUUGGGCAAGGAAGGAGAGGGGGCCCCAUCCACUGGAAACCACAACCUGACAAUGAACUUCCUUAAUCAGUGCACUGCAGAAUUCCUCCAGCUGCUUCUCCUUUGGAGUCAAUUAGAACCUGCUGGGCCCCUGCUCUUUUUCUGAGAGGAGCAAAUGUCAGCCCACAGCCAAGAUUUAGAAAUUUGCCACACCGGAUCAGAAACAAAUCCAUCUGUGACGAGGUCAAGGUUCUCCUAGGCCAAGGCUUCAGCUAUGGAGUCCCUGUAGCCUGCAGGGUGGCCUCCAGCCUAAGGUCAACAACUGCCUGUGGGGCUACCAACAAGUGCUCUCCUGUCCCUAGUUGGUAACCACCCAGAUUUCCAUUUCAGAAGGUGAGUCAUGUUCGGAUGUGGACAGUACAUUAAAUAACAAUUUUUAGGAUGUGAGUGUCAGAGUUGCACAGCAAGAAUGCAUUUGCUUUGGAAUGGGACCUCUUCCUACGUGCCCAGUCUUCUAAUCUCUUCCAUCUGUCUACAUUUCUGCUGAGCCCCAAUAGGCCCCCAGGGCCUCCUGAGUGGUGAGGCUGCCCUGGGCACCAGUUCCUCGGAGACGUUCUUGCCAGUGCCCAGGGCCGGGAAGAGAAAUCAGGUAGUUCUCCGUGUGUUCUCUAUUUCACAUGGAGAAUGGCAAGGAGGCUGUGUGCUCCCUUAGAGCUCUCUGGUCCUUGGAUCAUACAGCUGCUCACACAUGCUCAGUGAGUGAAAAACGGCAGUUGCCAUCAAUGAAACACUUAACUGGGCUCAGCUCCGUGGGAGGCGCUGGUGUUAGCCAUCUGCUGAGCUGAAGGCAUCAAAGCAAGCAUCUUUGAUUGGUUUCAGAAAAAGAAGGUAGAAUGGUGGCAUUGGCACACUUAUGACUUGCCAGCUUCUCUCCUAGGUGCCAUAAUAUACACCCGAUAGAAGUCAAAGCGGGCUUAAGGAAAGGGCCACAUUAAGUGUGGGGCCAAAGCCUCCUGCCCUGUUGUGCUGUCAGAAAGGGCCAUGGGUCUGCUUCCUUUGGGUGCUGAGCCUCCUUGGGUGCUGCUCUCACUUAGGAGGGCCCAGACCAGCAGUACUCCUAAGCACAGCUGGGCUAGGGUGACAAUGGAAGUGUGAAGGAUCGGUGUGAAGCAACAGUGUUCUGCCAGGACAUGGUGCAAGGCCAAGAUGGGGCCCACAACAGCCUGUAUCCUUGUGGUCCUGUUGAUUGUUAAGAGUUGGUGGCUACUCUGAGAAUGCCCUGAGGAAGAAGUCUCCGGGCAUUUCAUAAGCUGGGAGAUGAUUGCCUUUGCCUGCUCGUCCCCAUAGGAGGAAGGAACAGCAGACUUUACUGUUGUGACAUUAGUCUGAGGACCACGUGCUGGUAAGAGAAGAGCAGAGAGCCUUGGGUCCUGCCUUCCGCUCGAGAGAUCUGGGUAGUGAUGUGUUUCAGCUUUUUACCAGUGCUUGUCAUGGUUUUGCUUUGACCCUGCACCUCUAGGUAGCCCUGAAGGAUUUCGUGGAGUGCACUUUCAGUUUAGUUUCAGGGUCCGGGUUGGGGUGAGUGGGGGAGCACACUGCUUUUCUGACUACUCUCAUGAGGGCAGAGAUGGGUAGCUUAAAAUGACACAUGUGGACUAUUUCACAGCUCUGGAGGAGAAUCUGCUGGUAACAUGUCUAUGGGGCUUGUCUCCUGCUGGAGGCUCUGAGGAAAGGCCUCUCUCCCGUCUUCCAUGGCUCCUGGAACUUUGGCCUCAGCUUUCAAGUACUCACAGAGCACCACUGUUGUUUAGCUCUGUCUUCCUAUUGCCUUCUUCACCACCCACCCAUAUAAAGACAUUUGUCAUUGGAUUUAGGCCCCACCAGGAUCCAGGACCAUCUCGUCUUGAGAUUCUUAACUCAACAUUCAAGGAGCCCUUUCCAGAUACAAUGACUGUCACACAUUUCCUGUCAACAAGCCUUGUUGGCCCCAUUCAACUCAUCACAAGGGUCAAGAAUAACAGAACAAACAAGAUAUGACUAAUUACACGUUGUAAGGAGUGAGCAAAGGAUGCUUACAGAGUUAUAGAGCGGCUUCAGAUUCCCUACCUAGAAAGUGAGAACAGUACCUAACUCAUUCAACUGCUUGAGAGUUUAAUGUGUAGCUGUUGAUUGACGGAAGAAGGUGCGCCUAGCUUAGUGGUGCAUAGUAUGUUUUCUUCCUCUAGAUUUAAGUUUUUGUCUUUCUUCUCCAUCUCUUCCACCUUGUUUGUUCAUUUGUUCAGCUCACUGCUCUGAGGUCCUACUGUGUGCUAGGUUUUUAUUCUAGAUAUAGAGAGCACUGCAGGGAAUAGGCAAAAGUUUGAUUUCCUAAUAAGUUUAUGGCUUAAUCUAUGUAAUUGUUACAUUUUACAGUUAUGUGUCAACUUGACUGAACCACAGAGUGCCUGUAUCUGUCUUUAGUUUUUUUUUAAUUUAAUUAAUUAAUUAAUUUUUAGUGUUUCUAAAAUAAUAUUUCUAGAUGAGAGCCACAUGUUAUUCAGCAGACUGAGUCAAGCAGAUUGUCCUCUCUAACGAGGCUAACUCUUCUCCAGUCAGUUGAAGAGAUGACCUGGACAGAAAGGUAGGAAGAAAAGAAUUGUAGCUUUGAAUAAGACUAUCAGCCUUUGGGGGCUUUGUUCGGUUUUUAUGUUCACAUUCACAAUGUAUCAAUGACCCUUCUUGGGAUGUUAGACCACCCAGCCUUGGACUGAAACCACAAUAUCCACUCUUCUCUAUCUUGGACUUCAGAUAUGGAUCAGAACUAAAUCAUAGACUCUUCCAAGUUUUCAACUGCUGACUCAUCUUGUAAAUCCUGGGACUUUCCUGAGUCUGUGGUAAAUGUCACAUGUGCUGACUCCUUAUAACCCCCCCCUCUCUUAUGCUAACUCACUGUAGAACCUUGAUAAACAACACAAUAGGAUCAUCUUUGUCUCCAUUUGAAUGUAACAUGGCUUCUUCAGCCAUCACCUGUUUUUAUCUGCAGAACAGUUCUCUGGAUCAGACAGAGCAGCCCUCUGAGAAUCCUCACCUACAGAAGAGGAAACUGAGGUCUAAGAGGGAUUCUAUCUGUGCUUCUAUGGCCUAGCUGCCCAGAAGUAGAACAACUUCAACCCCAAAGUCAAGGCCCUGCAGAAAGUCAGGAAGGGUGGAAGAACAGCUACUCUCAAUUUUUAAUAUAGCAUUGGCCAUCAAUUUAGAAACCUCUUGAUAUCCCCUGAGAAGAAAUAAAAGACUAAAAAUGUGGACUUAGUAAGAACACUAAGGCCCAGGGAGGAUCUUUGGCUUGUCCCUCUGUACAGCUUGAGGGGAAGACACUGCCUGCUUAGAGGCCUCAUCUGUCAAUCCAACACUUGAUUGUCUACACUGCAUGCUGAUGCUGACGACCCAGAUGCAGACUGUUUCCUCCAUGUUCUGUCCUCAUGGACUGUCUCUUUGGAAUAUCCCAUGUUCAUAGAUAUCAUCUGAGAUGUCGCCACUCACGGCCCUGCAUUUGUAGUGAAGAUGCUUCAGCCUCAGACAAUCCUGUGUCUCCAUCCCAAUCCCUUCUUACUAAUAGGGGAAAUAUGGCCACACGUCUUGCUCUUCAGGCUCUGGAUUUUGUCAUCAUGGAGGCCCAAACACAGUAUUUAUGACUCAUGGUUUCUCUUGAGGACUACGAGAUGAAGCCGGCAACACAAUAUGGACACUGUAAAUGCUCUACAAAUUGAGGGACAAGCCCUGUAUUAAAGGGGGCCCAGAAUACAUACUGUGUUCAAGGCUAUGUUGAUGCCAGUUCUGUUGGCUCAUGAAGCUAGCAGUGAACCACUCCUGUAUACUGAAGUAGUGGUGACUGUCCCUGUUGCUGUAAGAAGCCCCUUUCUUCUCUGGUCCAUGCUUUUCCAUUUAUAAAAUGGGCACAGUCAGAACUCCUACUGUGCAGGAGCUGAUGGUACUGCUUGGCAAGCCAAGCAAAGGAAAUGAGUAUUCACCCACUUACUAUCUUAUCUCCUCACUUGCUAAGGAAAAGCUAAUAUAUGGUUGGUAGAGUUCAGUAUAUGAUAAGAUUAUCAUUUUAAUUAUCAUUGUCACCAAGUUUCCUGGGAUAGGUGAAGCUCUUGGAUGACAAAGACUUUGACAAAAAUAACGGAUCAAGCAUAUCAGAGGAGUCAGGUAUGGGAACACCUGCCUGUAAUCCCAGAACCUGGGGGGCAGAUGCAGGAGGACUGUUGUUUGAAUAGCCUGGGCUACCUACUGAGUUCUAGGCCAGCCUGGGCUGUAAAAUAAGAUGUUUGUUUUCUGUUUUGUUUUUGUUUUUGUUUUAAAGCAAACAAACAACAAUCUACACAAUGAAACAUUCACCAUGUCUGGAGUCAAAAUGGAAAAUAGCAUAAAUAAGAUUUGUAGAGUUUAU